UUAGGGUUAAGGCUUACCAUAGAGAACUGGAUGGCGCUAACUAAAUGACAAGUUGAAACGGCAUCUGCAAUCGUAUUGAAUGACAUUGAACCGCGAGGUAGGGUUUAAAUGAAUACCGAGCAGAGAUAAAUUGGUGUGGUGAAUUAGGGUUUUGUGGCUACGUUUUAUUUCGAUUGAAAAAAGGAAUUUGAGCUUUUGCUUUAAUUCAACGGUGUCGUUAAUUUAAACAUUCAUUUUAGGUUGCAGUGGCCAGUGGAGAGAGGGGGAUUCAUUCAACGCUUAGCCAAAAUUUGGCUGUAAGUGUUGAUGUGUUUUAAGUUAUACAGAACGGUGUCGUUAAUUUAAACAAUACUGUUUUACAAUCUUAUAAGAUCACAAAACCUAAGCAUGACUUAUAUGUAUCAUUUAUUUAGGACGGUUAAGUUAUAAGUCAUGAAUAUGUCAUAUAUUCUGGACAUAUGAAUAUAUAUUAUGAAUCUAUCAUAUUUUUAUGACACAUUCGUGACACAAUGAUAUAUGUCAUCAAAUUUACGUCAUUAUUUAAUAUUUUUCUAGUGGUGUCAGAUUUUUGAAACAUUUUUGUUAAUAGCAAAAACUCUAAUCCUUUAGCAAAAGACUAAAAAUUAAAAAAAAAAUCUGUUUAAAUAUCAGUUGGCUCAUGAUCAACACUUCAAUAUUGUUUGUUGUAUUUUCUUUCUUUCUUUCUUUGUCAUUUUAUUAGAUUUUUUUUGUAUCAUAGUUUGUUUUGCUUAAGUAAUUGUUCAUUGUUUAUGUCUGUGUUCUUACUAACAGAGUAAAAGAUUUUGAGAGAAUGAAUUGCACCCUUUUCCAUUGAUUGUAAGACUUUUAUAUGCAGCAAUAUAUAUAACAACUGUGCCUAUUUUAAAGAGAUAAGAUAACAGAAAGAUAUACUUUACAUUUGAAUUAGUUUGAAUGAGUAAACUAGAUAGGUCCCAUAUUCUAAGAGGAGAAUCUGCUGACACUUACUGGCUUUUGAUAAUUUAUGGUUGGUUUUUUAUUCAGACCCUCGAAGUACCUUUUUGUUAAUAUUAAAACCUCUGAUCCUUAAGAAAGAAAAAAAAAUUCUCUAUUUAGUUAUUAGUUAGUUCAAGAUCAAUAUAGCGAUAUUGUUUGUGGUCUUUUCAUUCUCUAUCUUUCCCUCUAGUUCAUUUUAAUUUAUUUGUAUUCCUUUCUUUGACACUUGUAUUUAUAUAUAUAUAUUGUUAAGCAACAGGCAAUGGCUGUUGAAGGGUGUCUCCCUGCUUUUUCCAGCAUUGUAUCACAAGGUUCAAAAGCAUUAUUCGAACCGAUUAUGCGGCACAUAUCUUAUGUGUUCGAGUACCAAAGCUACAUAGAUGGGCUAAAAGAUUGAGUGAAGGAGCUGGAAUAUAUAAGAGAAAGGGUGCAAACGCUGGUUAGAGAGGCUACUCUACAAGGAGAUGAGAUUUAUAAGGGUGUCUGAGACUGGCUAAAUAGAGUUGCUGAAUUCAGUGAAGGGGUUGCAAAAUCCAUCAUUGACGAUAAAGAUAGAGCUAAGAUAGAGCUAAGACUGAGCAUGAUUGCAAAUGCACGAUUGCAAAUGCAUUGGAUCAAUUAAGAAGUUCCAAUCUAGGAGAAAUUCAAGGAAUGCGUGCAGAUGUAUAAACCUCCAUAAAAUUGUUACGACUUGAAGGAUUGUAUAUAAGCAUUAAAUUGAUCUAAUUUAAUUUGUAUGUAAACAUUAAAUUGUAUAUAAAUACACAGAACAGAACCAUAUCAGUGUUGGAAAAAAAAAAAAAAAGAAUCCAGAGUUAUAUAAAUUCAAUAAAAAAUUACUGAAUUUUUUAUUACUAACUUUGAACACUCUAAUUUCAAUAAAAAAAUUAUAUUACUAAAAUAGUCUUAAUUGAAUUUACUAUUAAAGACAUUAGAAUAACUCAACACUAAUAUUCUAAAAUAUAUUUCUCUCCAUAGUCUAAUCUAAUCCAUUCUAAGAAUCCUAUAGAAAAUAUAUUAUUUACUUUUUCCUUAUUAAACACAAAAACAUGUCAUUUUGUUGCUAACUAAAAUUUUGGAACUAACAACAGCAGAUUAACAAAAUUAUCAGAAAAAGAAAUCAAACAAGAUUUUAAUCGUCGUCAUCUUCACUCUUGUCUUUUUCUUUUUCUUCACACAUGUGGCUUGCACACGCAUUCCCCUCUCUCAUCCUUAGGGCCGCCCUUCAACAAUAUCCAAUCAUCGAUUAUAAUUAUUUAGAUUGACCAAAUCAAGCAUUGAUCAUAUAUUGGUUGAGGUUAGAAAUAGGCAGGCAGCAGCGAUAAUACUACUAAUUAAUAUCUCAUGAGAAUUUUAAAGAAAAAUCUAACGUUGUCAAAUUCGUUUGAUUUCAAUGAAGUCUUUCUCCUACUUAUACUUUCACAUAUUCUCUUUUAUUUCCAAAGUUAAGGUUAUGGAUGUUGUAGAGUAAAAAGAUGAGCAUUGCUAGGAAAGCAAUAAAAGGAAAUAAAUAAAAAUUAAAAAUAUAAAAAGAGUUAAGUCAUUUUUUUUUCUAUUAGUGUUUUUGUAUUUAAUAACGAAAGAUAAAAAUAAAGUAGAUAUUAUCUAUUGGAUUAUUAAAAUAACACAGGUAUAACACAUGUCAAAAUCUCGUUAUUAUAAUAUUAGAAAAGGUUAAAUUAGGAGAAUAUUCAAAUCGGCGAAAUAAUUAAUAAAUCGUAUUUAUUAAUCAUCCACCCAAUUCAUGCAUACCCAAAUGGCCGUCAACGAGCUAACCAAAUCCCAGCUUGUUGUAAUCUGGGUUGGGCUUUUUGGGCGAUAAUUAACUGCCCGAGCUGCUCAUCUACCCCAAUAGAGCCUAACAAAAAUUUUCGCCUAAGCUUCACAAAAAUGUUCAUAAAUCUUUUUUUUUUUGGUAUCAUAAAAACAUAAAUUUAUUUCAAACACUUUUGGAGCUUAAUAAAAAUUUCCCAACAUUUCAUCUGACAAAGGUAGUUUAAAAGUGUAUUCGUUAAAUUCUAAAAUACAUACUUAAAAUCUUUUAGUGAUAAUCUAAUUAUAAAUUAAGGGUCUAUUUGGGAUUGAGAUUGAACAGUUAAAAUGUUAUAGUUGUUGUAGUUUAGAAGUUAAGAUGAUUUGAUUUUACACUUAUAUGAUAAAAAAUUUAUUAUAUCUUUUCUAAUUUUAUCAAAAUUAUUAUUAAAAAAUUAUAUUUAUUAUAUACUAUUAACUUUUAUUUUAUACUUAAAACUUUUUUUUCUUACGGCAAAAGUUUUAGCACCUCAAUACCCAACCAAGUCUAAAACUGCACAAAUAUAAUUAUGAGUGCGAAUGUUAAAAUCUACACACAUUCGUACUUGAUAAUUUCAAUCAACAGUGUUACAAACUUAGUUAAAAUAUUAUAUCUGAAAUUAUUGAGGGAAAAAAAAAAAGAAAACGAAUGUUGUUUUCAUGAUAGUGACAUGUGUCGUGCACAUUUUGCUGUUGGCUCUUUGGUCUCUAAGACUCUAACCCAGCGAAUAGGUUGUUGUGUCCUCGUUGUUAGAUGCCCGAACCCAGCGCAAGAACUUUGUACGAUACAUGGUGCGUUUGGGAUUGAGGUGCUGUAGCUUUUAAGCUAUAGUUGAUGUGAAAAAAAAGCUGUAAUUAUGAAACAAAAGUUAAUAAUAUAUAGUAAAUAUAAAUUUUAAAUAAUAAUUUUGAUAACAUUAUUAAAAAUAUAAUAAAUUUUGUAUUAUACAAGUGAAAAACCAUAUCAACAUAGCUUAAAAGCUACAGCAGCUAGUGUUUACCAAACACUUUAGUGUUGUAGCUUUUAAGUUACAGCUACCCAACCUCAAUCCCAAACGCACCCACAAUAUAUUUUAUGAAAGUGAUGAUGUUGCCAAUAAAGAUGAGUAAUAAACCAAACGGCGUCGCUUCCCUAACCUGUUAGAAAUAUCAACGCCCAUUGUCGCCCUCUCGUUCCAUUUAUUCAUUUAGCCCGGUCAGGGGAUUGACGAAUUAAAUAAACAACAAUAAUCGUCCGAUCCCCGCAGAUUGCCACUCAUAUUUAAUCCAACGGCUAGGAUAUGAACCCCUCUAUAACUUUUAUUUGUCGAAUCAGCCGCUCUCUCUAUUAAAAUUAAUUUUUUUUUUACAACGGCCGACGAGUGCUGACGUAUCAGAGACGCUUCACCAAUCAAUAAAAAAAUCAAUUGAAAAGGACGGUAUAGUGAGUGGAAGAGAAAUGCCAAUGGCAGAUCAAGGGAUGAAGAUACGAGCUCACUUGCAACGUGGUAUAGUUCAUCAUGGCUUUCCUAUAAGUUCAGGUCCUUUGAAUACUUUCAAUGAUCUUAUUAGUCAGAAAUUCAACAAUAAUUUUUACUUUUUACAUCCAGGAACAGUUUUAAGCACAAGCAAAUCAGGUGGUCAAUAGGCCUCAUAUGUUAGCAAGGUCCCCGUUUUGGUCACUUAAGUCCCAUAUGUUAGGAAGACUCCCUUUUUAUUUUUGGUAUUACUUAUGAUAGCAAAUCCUCUUUUUUAGGCCUCUUUUUAGUUAGUAAUUAUCUUAUAAUGAAGAAUUUUGUAUUUUGUUACACAUUUUAUAUUUGAUAACCUUAAUAUUAAAGAUCUCUAAUUGAUAGUAUUAUCUAAUUGUUAAUUUAUUAUUAGUUUUUCCAAAAAAAAAUAAAUUCUUUAUCUAUUUAAAAAGGUUAAUUAAUUAACAUUAUAAAAAAUUUUGUGCUAUUCUCUAUACAGAAAAUUAUUACAUUUAUUACUUCACUUCUGAAUUAAAAAAAAAAAAAAGAUUUAUUGAAAUAAUAGUUCUAGAGGAAGUAAAAAAGAUAUCUUCUUGAUUAUUUUUCUUUUUUGAACAUUUUAACUAUCUUGUUGAUUGUUAAUAUUCAAGAUAUAGUUAAAAAUUGAUUGAAUUCUAAGCUCUUUUAUGUUUCUUUAGGUGUUGAAGCUGCUGAAUGUAAGGAGCCCUCGUAAAACAAUUCCCAUAACGCCCCUAAUACUCUAAGGUCGACCCUGUGUAUAUCAUAUUACUAAUAAUGUAUAUCAUAUUUUUAAUAGGUCUUCAUUUUAGGCUAAAGUACUUGAACAAUAGUUCCCAUGCACUUUGUGAUCUUAUUACAAAAUAUUAAACUAAAUAGCUGUGGAAGUAACAAAGAGGGCAACUUUUUACCAUAAUGUGAUGAAAAUAAUUCAUUUGUCAUCACGAACUAACCAAAUCAAAACAAAAAACUAAUUAUCAUAUGGUUCAAAUCUGUGCAACAAUGGUGCAUUUAAAAGGAAAUAAUGUACAGUUAAAAUUUGUGCUUGUAACAAGAACUCUUCUCUUCAAGCCAACAAUUCCACCUAGGAGAGGAAGUGUUUUAGGCGACACUUUCCAACUAAUGAAAGCAGUGAGCUCUCAAACUCUGUUAUCAUUUUCUACUACUUGAAAAAGAGAGAAAGAGAAACGAGAGGAAAAACAGGUCUCCUCUGUUUUCAUUUUGGUGAUUGCAAAUAAUAUUUUUUUUUACUUUUACUCUUUAUUUAUUUAAUUUUUAAAAAAAAACUUUUAGCUCAUUAGUUCUUGUUCUUGUUAAUGCGUCUAAUAACUUAUAUGAUGAUCUGAUCAUAUCCGUAACAUUAACAUACCCCCAUAAUCCGUUAUUUUAUAAUUAUAAAAUUUGAAGAUUCGGUCAUGCAAUUUUGUAUGAUGAACAGUGUGUUCAUUUUUUCUGUGAAACAUAAGAACAAUUUGUAAAUAAUGUCCAUGCGGACCUUGUAAUAGCGAAGCAUCAUUAUUGAUCUUACUUUGAUGAUCGCACUUUAGUUUCUUUUUAAAGUGCCUUUUGUUUAUUUUAUCGGCAUCCGCUUUUACAAAAGUUUUGGUCCUCGUUCAUUCAUCAAAGCUUCUACUUUUAUCUUUUAUUAGUAAUCUUACAAAAAGCUUAAUUUAAUUGGAAUCAUGUUCGAUAUGAAGAUUGUUUUACUUACUUCAGUAAUCUUUCAAUCAACCGAAUUUAUACUUGGUCAGUAGGACAACAGUGACCAAGUACAUAAUAUGAAAAUUCAUUUGUAUUGCUUACUCUAAUAAGCUCUUAAACUCACACAUUCCUCUGCAGUUACCAGUGAUCUUUUGCUCACUAAAAUUGUUAAUAUAUAUUCAAGGUGAAUAAAGAAACUCAUCAUCCCAGAUAAUUAAAGAGGUGAACUUGUUCUAAAUCCUUUAAUAAUUUCUAUUAAUAGCAUAUAUAAUCUCUAAUCCUUGAUCUUGGUAGUAGUUCUUUCUUAAUGUCCAAGAAAAAUAUCUCUCAUUUGUCUUAAUCUUGUCAUUUAAUUUUCUUGAAUUCUGAGUUAGUGUUUAUUGUUAAAUUCGGUUUUCGGUUAGUAGCUGUUGGUUAAUAGCUUCGGUUAAUCCUUGAAUUAAACAUAUUAAAAUCUAAUCAUAAACCCGCCUUUCCCUAUUUUACAACACCCUUUAUGUAAUAGUGACUUCAAAAGUGUAACAUAUUUUGAACAAUUGCAAGGAAAGAACAUAUUUGACACUUCACAAAACGGUAAAGAUAUAAGCUUCAAUUCUUGUCCAACAAAUUAAUAUAACUAACGUCAAUUGAUCAAUAAUUCAGUAACAAAAAGGGGCAGAUAUCCUAGUCUUUCUUUACUAAUGAAGCAAGCCAUUAAACUUCGAAAGCUAUUUCUAUUUCCACAUUCUUCAUGUACCAAAGCCAAAAAAAAAAAAAAAAAAGCAACAAAAAUUUGGAAGUAAUCAUCUUUAUUCAGCAGCAUGCAUAUUAAUUAAAACAUAUUCAAAAAGAAAUAUACAAUAUCAGGUCUGGAGACGAAAUGAGCCCACAGAGACUACCAAUAAUGUAACGGCUUGAUUAAAAAUAUUAAUCAAGCCACUACAUUAGAAGAACAAGAGUUAAUCAUGCAUAGUAAUUAAAAAUAUUUUUGCUAUCAUCCACCUGUUCUCUCUAAAUAGUUGUCCCUUUUUUUUUUCUUUUGCCUGAAAUUCCAAGCAAAAAUAUAAUUAGAAGAUCAAGAGUUAAGGGUUAAAAAAAUGGAAAAAGAGGGCUCCUCUGUUUUCAUUCCCCUGUUUUUCUGUUCGGUGAUUACAAAGAUUUAAAUCAAAAUUUAUGAUGCAGGCUACACGGCACCUGGUGGAAGACUGCUAGGGUUUACCUUUUAUUCUUAGUUAGAAAUUUAAUUUAGAAUUUGUAGUGUGCGCCUUAUAUAAGUAGGUUUCCUAAUAGUAAAAUUAAAUAAUCUAAGUUUAUGAUGCACUAGGAUAUGAUUGUGAUAAAUGAGCUUUUUAUGUAUCCUCUGAGGUUGAUCAUUAUUUUACUACAUUGAAGAUUCAGUUAUCUCUUUGUAAUACUCUGGACUUCACAUACUAAACAGAAUGGAGCAUUAUUUUAUCCCGCUAAAUCAGUUUUUUAUUUUUUUAAAAAAUAAUUCAUCAAACACUUUAUAGCUCUGGUUUUAAGUUGGUAAACACUUUAAGCCGCAACUUUAAAUUCAGUUUACGAGAAUCCCUAACAGUCACAGUGGCUGAACCUAUCCAGACUAAAACCAGAUCAUGAAAGCUUAUAUACACCAAGAGAUUUAUCUAGAAAGUACCGCCGGCAGCCAGUUCAUUCGUUUCUGAGUUUGUUUCCAGAAACCCGGAAACUCCCCUGUUUCUGCAAACAGGGCUUCUUUGUUUUCAGUCCCCUGUUUUUCCAUUUGGUGAUUGUAAAAAUUUAAAUCUAAAUUUUUGAUGCAGUCUACACGGCACCUGCUAGAUGAUUGUUAGGGUUUAUCGUUUAUUCUUAAUUAUGAAUUUAAUUUAGAUUCGUAGUGUGCGCCUUAUGUAAGAUUAAAUAGAAUAAUGUAAAAAACAAAAGAAAAAAAGGCCUUUCUUAAUUUUGACUUCAUAAUGUUGCAGCAACCGUCCUCUGUUAUCAUUCCCCUGUUCUUCAGUUUGUUGAUUGCAAAUAACAUUCUUUGUAUCUACUCUUUAUAUGUUUAUUUUUUAAUUUUUAAGUCAUCAAUUCUUGUUCUUCUUAAAGCGUGUAGUAAAUUAUAUGAUCAUCUGAUCAAAUCCCUCACAUUACAUACAGCAGAAUCUGUUAAUGGAAUUUAUUAUUUUAUCAUAAUUAAACAGAAGAUUUGUUCAUGCAGUUUUGUAUGACGAGGAGAUUUCAUUUUUCUGUCAAAUACAAGAACAAUUUGUAAAUAAUGUCCAUGAAAGCUUGAAUGAAGAAUGGCAUUUAAUAAUUUUAGAAGAAUAUUGGCUUAUAGAGCAUAUUAGUAGGGAUAAGAUUUGUAGGUGUCUGGUAACGGAAAAAGGAGAAAAAAAAUGGAGAGUGGAGGCAUUACUUUUAUCUCAUCCUUAACUUCAGUAAGUGGAGGAGAACAAAGGGGAAAAGAGGGGAGUGGGGCAUGACCUUAAAAGGAGGAUUUAUUUAUUUUUUCGGGGUCUGCAGGGCAUCUUUUUCUCUCUUCCUCUCAUGGAAAAUCCUUUCUUUUACACUCUAUUUCAUUUUUCUGCAAAUUACUCAAAAAGCUUUUGGUUUUUAAGGUAAUGUUUAUUAAGCCAUAUGAGUGGUAGCACAAGUUUUUUGGCAAAGGCCCAGAAACUAACUUGAGCGUCGGAGGGUUCACGCCGGAAAAACUUUCGGCGCCUUUGACCGUCUUCUAUGAUUUUAAGUAUUCGCAAGUUAAUCGCUAGUGGUUGCAGGACAUCUUGACGAUUGACCAAUCGAUUCUCUACCAAAUAAAUCUAAUGCUGGUGUAGAAGUCUGAUAUUAAGUCGCUAAUAGACUAGAUCAGAUUUGGGCAUCAACAUUUGGCACCGUCUGUGGGGAAUCGGUACAAAAAGCCAACUUCUUGUCUCUACCAAUUUUGCAUCCGGCCAAGCCAAAGGCAGAAUAUUAUCAUGCACAAAUUGAUAAGCUGGCUCAAACACGGAAGCCUAUCAAGGCUGGAUGGAAUGCUUACCUGUAAAGGUUUUGGCUUAUUUAUUGCUUUAAGUAUAUUGUUAUUAAAAUUCAAUUUCCAAUUGCUAUGAUGAUUGAUUUAUCAACUGAGAGAUGCUUGGAAAUUCUUUAAUAACAUGCAUGUUUCAAUACCGUGCAUGAUAUAUUUGCUGAAAUUGAAUAUUAUCCCUUGGAAUUCGUUGAUAAUGUUCCUUCACAAAAUUAGCUUGUUAGAAUGGGCUUCAUUCAUGAUUCAAGAUUACAUGCUAUUAUACUUGCAAAUGAAUUAAUUUAGUAUUUUCCAACAACAUGCUUGACAUAAUGUUAACAGUUCAGAUUUAUUAUGGCUAAUUAUUCAGCUUCGUUAUGGCUAAUUGGAUGUAUAAUGCUGCUACCAUCAUUAUUUUGCUGAUGUAUUUAUAUUUCUUGAUUGAUUGUUCUCUUUUCAUCGAACUCAAGAUAUAAAGUCUGUUCAAAAGAGCAAUCGAUUUGCGGUAUUAUCAAUGUUCAAUUUCUUAAAAUAAAGAUCACACAAAUUGUUAAAUUCAUUUGGUGGUAAGCAUAAAAAAUCCACGGAUCUUUGGUUUCUUCAAGAUAUUUCCUGCUGGUUUUACACCCCAUCAAUCAAUCAUGCAGCUAGUUUUCAUGUGAAGAAUAUGCAGGGAAAGUAUUUAGACAAUUCUGGUAUGAAACUCGGUUCAUUACAAGUUGAGGCAGAAUUGUUAAAAUUCAAAUCAGGAGCUGUUCGUUAAAUCGCCUCAAGGGAUAUGAAAGUUCAAAAGUGAGUUUGUUGCUGAUUACACUACAUACACUACAUAUAUGCUUGAGAGAAUGUUGCCCAGGAGCCAAGAUCUAAACCCAUGUUCUGUUUCAGUUUAUUCAAUAUAAGUAUCAAACUGAUUGAGAGCAUGAGUUAUUCUUAACCAUAGCUUUAUUAUAUUUUCGCAAAGAGAACAUUAGAAAUUAUGCAUAUAUACGCUGUCUUUUGAUAGUAGCUGUCAUCCACAUUGCACAAAUUCUCAUAAUCGUUAAUGAGUGUUGGAAGAAGUAUAAUUAGCAUAAUCUGGAUGAGGCCGAGUAUUGGUAUUUUGGCUGACUUUAAUAAUGGUUUUAAAACAAAACAAUUUUUUAUUGAUGAUGAGAAUUGAUAGGCAUGUCUUCAAGCUUCAAAGAAUUGAUGAAGUUGGAUUUUUGUUUCCUUCAUAUUUUAUUCGUUUUGUGCCCGUGUUAAAAUAUUGCAAGAAUAAUUCUAAGAAGGGAGCAAAGCAGAGUCAAGCUCGGGAUUUGUUUGAUGAAGUACUAAUGAAAUAAUGCAGAGCACAAUCUCAGGUGCACUUGUUCUAAAACCUCAGUUUUAUAUUUAUCCUUUAAAUCCACUACCUGACUUAAAAAAUCUGAUGGAUGGGGUUUUGACUUAUUAAGUCGUUAAUAGAAAAUAGUUAAGAUUACAUAUUAUAGAUUAUAUAGCAUAGUCAUAUAUUAGCACACAACAUGCUUGACCGAAGGAUUGAUGGAACUUGGGUUAGCAUGAGAUCGUAUUUCCUUGAUACAGUGAUAUGACUUUGCUUAAACUUUUAUGGUACCAUUUAUAUAAUAUGAUUUAUUUUAUAUAUAAAUUUUAAUAUCUUUAGUGUUGGUAAAUGGUGCUCUGCACCUUUAGCAAAGGUCUUUAAUAAUAUUGCUAACCAAAUAUUAUAGAUGGUAAUAAAAACACCAAGGAUGUUUAUCCAUCAAAGGCCCAAACAUAUAUAAAUAGCUAAAGCGCAAGUUGUAAAUGUGAGCUAUUUUCUGGACAAGUUAUAAGUUAUAAGUCCGAAAUUAAAUUUUUGAUGGUUAUCUAUAUUUAAGGAUUUAAAGCAAAAACCUCAAAUAAGAACACAUUGAAGGCACGCAAAGGCUCUAAAGUCUCAAAGCCUGUUUUAUGGUGAGACAGGAAGCCAAGUAUGCCAGGAUCUGCUCGACCAAGCGAAGGCGAGCAGACCAAAAAAGUUUCAAAAAUCUUCUAAGGCACGCAAAGGCUCCAAAGUCUCAAAGCUUGUUUUAUGGUGAGACAGGAAGCCAAGCAUGCCAGAAUCUGCUUGACCAAGCGAAGGCGAGCAGACCAAAAAAGUUUCAAAAAUCUUCUAAGGCACGCAAAGGCUCCAAAGUCUCAAAGCCUGUUUUAUAGUGAGACAGGAAGCCAAGCAUGCCAGGAUCUGCUGGACCAAGCGAAGGCGAGCAGACCACAAAAGUUCCAAAAAAGUUUCUAAGGUAAGCAAAGGCUCCAAAGUCUCAAAGCCUAUUUUAUGGCGAGACAGGAAGCCAAGCAUGCCAGGAUCUGCUGGACCAAGCGAAGGCGAGCAGACCACAAAAGUUCCAAAAAAGUUUCUAAGGCAAGCAAAGGCUUCAAAGUCUCAAAGCCUCCUUGAUGGCGAGACAGGAAGCCAAGCUCGCCAGAAUCUGCUCGACCAUGUGAAGGCGAGCAAAAAAUGAGAAUUCCAAAACAGUUUCUAAGGCAAGCAAAGGCUCCAAAGUCUCAAAGCCUCCGUGAUGGCGAGACAUGAAGCCAAGCUCGCCAGAAUCUGCUCGACCAUGUAAAGGCGAGCAGAGAACAAAAAUCCCAAGAAAGUUUCUAAGGCACGCAAAAGACUUCAAAGUCUCAAAGUCUGCUCGAUGGCGAGACAAGAAGUCAAGCUUGCCAGAAUCUGCUCAACCAUGUGAAGGCAAGCAGAAAGUUAAAAAAAAAAAAAGUGUACUUCAAGUAAAAGGCUUAUAGUCUCUAAACCUCCUCGCAGUGAGACGAAGUCAAAGUUUGCCUGCUCUUGCCCGACCAAGAUUAGGCGAGCAAGAGUUAUAUGAGUGAAAAAUAUUCUAAAGCAGAUAAAUGACUGAGUCUCAAAACCUACUUCAGGUGAGAUAAAUACGUGAACUUAUGAAACCUGCUUUACAUAAUUAUGCAAGUAGGAAAAUGGUAUAUUUAAAGGCAUGUAAAAGUUUAAAACUUGAAAUUUUUUGCUAAUAGUAAGGUUAAUUUUAGCAAUCCCGAGCCGAUUUAUGCCAACCACAUCGAGGUCACUUUAAAAUUCAUAUAGUUUCCAGUCUUGAUUCGUUAAAACUCUCAACAUUAGAAACUGGGGGACUGGUGUUUGGUAACGGAAAAAGGAGAAAAAAAUGGAGAGUAGAGGCAUUACUUUUAUCUCAUCCUUAACUUCCGUAAGUGGAGGAGAACAAAGGGGAAAAGAGGGGAGUGGGGCGUGACCUUAAAAGGAGGAUUUAUUUAUUUUUUCGGGGUCUGCAAGGCAUCUUUUUCUCUCUUCUUCUCAUGGAAAAUCCUUUCUUUUACACUCUAUUUCAUUUUUCUGCAAAUUACUCAAAAAACUUUUGGUUUUUAAGGCAAUUUUUAUUAAGCCAUAUGAGUGGUGGCACAAGUUUUUUGGCAAAGGCCCAGAAACUGACUUGAGCAUCGGAGGGUUCACGCCGGAAAAACUUCUGGCGCCUCUGACCGUCUUCUAUGAUUUCAGGUAUUCACAAGUUAAUCGCUAGUGGUUGCAGGACAUCUUGACAAUUGACCAAUCGAUUCUCUACCAAAUAAAUCUAAUGCUAGUGUAGAAGUCUGAUAUUAAGUCGCUAAUAGACUAGAUCAGAUUUGGGCAUCAACAGUAGGAUGCCUGAUAAAAGAUAAAGCAAAAGCUUGAAUGAAGAAUGACAUUUUUAGAAAGAAACUAAUGUGCAAUGUAAUAAUCAAAGUAAGAUCAAUAAUGACUUGAUCAGUUAUGCUUUUUAUUAUUUCAUUUAUUCUAUCCUAUCCCUACUAAUAUGCUCUAUAAGCCAAUAUUCUUCUAAAAUUAUUCUAGCACAACAUGUAUUUAUUCGUUAAAAACUUCAACUUAAUUAUUUCAUUACAGGAUAUGAAACACUGAGCCAUAAACUAGUGCUUUCUUCAACUUAAUUAUUCUCACUGCAUAUUUUUUAAGGCUUCGUCUUUUGUCUUGAUUCUGGACUUCAAAAUUAAAUCUUAAAAAUCGGGUAUAAUAGGGGUACGUGAUUAAGUCUUCCUCUUUUGCAAUUCACUGUUAUUACUCUCAUCAAUUCAUUCUUUUGAUAGCAGUUCUUACUUAAUAUCCGAAGCGAAUAGAGGAGGUCAUCGACUCUCUGAUCCCAUAUAAAUAAAGAGGUAUACAUGUUCUAAAUCCUUUAAUAAUAUCCUUUAAUAGCAGUUCUUACUUAGUUUUCAUCUACUUUCCAAGAAAAAAUUUCUCUGGUUUGUUUUAAUCUUGUCAUUGGUUUUGCUUGAGUUUCAAAUUAUUGUUCAUUGUUAAAGUCUGUGAUCUUAUUAUAUGGCUUUAGUUAAUUAAAAAAAAAGUCUGGGAUUUUAUUCAGACCCUUGAAACCUUUCAGUUAAUAGCAAAAACUCUAAUCCAUGAGCCCGGGGGGGGGGGGGGGGGGGGGGGGGGGGGGGGGGGGGGGGAAGAAAAAAGAAGAAGAAAGAAUUCCCUGUUUAAAUAUCAGUUGGUUAAAUGUUGUGUGUUUGCUGUCUUUUACUUGUUUGUUUGUUUUUCAUUUUAUUAGAUUUGCUUUUUACUUGAAGAUUAAAGAUGAGUAAGAAUUUUUUUUUUCUUUUCUGAAGCAGCCUACAAAUUUUAGAAUAGGGCUAAGAGUAAUUACAAAUUCAAUUAACCACAAAAAGUUAUUUAUAUUUAUCGCUUGUAAAAUUAAGUUUAUCAUCCCAAAUAGAGUUGUUUGCAUUAGAAGUUUUCUAGCAUUCAUGAGCUUUAUCAUCAUAUCACAAGAUUGCCUGAAAAACAAGAUAAAUCAAUUUGAGCAACUUGCUCUCUAUUGAUUUUUUUUUUUUUUUUUGCCUGAAAUACUAGGGAAAAUAUUAUAUAAGAACAAGAGUUAGAUGAAAAAAAAGUUAAAACAAGUUUUCUGUGUUUUCAUUCCCCCUGUUUUUUUGUUUGGUGAUUGAAAAUUUUAUAUCUAAAUUUUUAUGACUUCCCGUUGGGAUUUUAUUAAAUAAAAAAGAAUAUGUAAUUCUAAAUUUACCCUUACGCAUUGAGUGAUUAUUAUUACGUUCUCUUAAUAUUUGUUGGUGCAAUUUUGUGUGAUGUGAAUUUUAUGUUUCUGUUAACAUAAACCAAUUUGGAAAUAAGGCCACGUCGAACAAAUGAAACAACAAAAAAGCAUCGUUGGCAAUACAAAAUCAAACUUUAUUAUUAAUCAUUAUUUUGUUUUUGAAUAUGUAUAAAUCAAAUCAUAUACUGUUGAUCUUACUUUGAUAAUUUGGUGCUUAGUUUCUCUCAAAAAUGCUUUUAUAAAAGUUUUGGUCUUCAAUCAUUCAUCCAAGCUUUUGCUGAUCUUUUAUUAGGCAUAUACAUCGUGCUGUCACUUAAUAUUCAUUUCAAUUUCACAGUACACAAGCAACGUCUAUGCCAAAAUCAUUAAAGCACAAGCGGUAUUUAUUCCAUGAAAACUUUAUGAUUUCUUCAACUUAAUUGGGUCGAACAACAUUUUUUAAAAUACUUUUAUCACACUGCAUGCUUUGUUAAACCUCCGUCUUUUGGUAUUGAUUCUAACUUGAAAUUAAAUCUUUAAGUCUUUACAAGUUUAUUUCUUCAUGAAAGAAGUCAAUAAUCAAGUGCGUGUGAAUUAAACAAAAAAAAAAAAAAAGAUCAGUGAGAAAAGCCCUUUUUCUAAGGCAACCUACUGAUUUGAGAAUAGGACUCAACCACAAGAAAAUAUUUACGUUUGCUUUUAAGGAGUACAUGAUAGCUAUUAAACUUAAUUCAAAUUUAGUCAAUCAUCAAUCAACCAAUCCAACUAGUUCAAGUACAGAGUCAAUUGAACAAAUUCAUCACUUGCGUAAUUAAGCUUAUCUUCCGAAAUUGAGUUGUUUCCAUUAGAAAAUUUCCCGCAGUCACGAGUUACAAUCAUCAAAACAAGAUUAUUUAUAUAAGAACAAGAGUUAAAGGGAAAAAAAAAUGGUAAAGCAAGAUUCCUCUAUUUCCGUUCCCCUAUUUUUUUUUUUUUUUUUUUUUGUCUGGUGACUUAAAAUUUCAUAUCUAAAUUUUUAUAAUUUUCCAUCGACGUUUAUAUUUAAAUAAAGAAUUACAAAAAAAAAAAUUCUAAAUUUAUGCAUUGAAUGGUUAUUGUUAUGCUCUCUUAAAAUUGGGUACAAUAUCAUUUUCAUAGCGAAUAGAGUUAUUGACCACUUUGUUAAAAAUGAACAUGUUAUGUUUAUACGAAUAAAACAAAACACGGGGUGCACGCUUAAGUCUUGUUCUUUUACAAUUCAUUUGUAUUACUUACUCUGAUGAAAUCUUUACUCUGUUAGGAAAUUGGUGGGUGAAGCAGACACGCAGAUAAAGUGAAAUUGGGAAAAAAAUAAAGAACAAGCACAAAAAAUGGACACAAGAAAUUACGUGGUUCAGCUUUUAGCCUACGUCCACGGGCGAAAACAGGAGGAAAAUAUUUUACUAGUAAAAAUGAUUUAUAAGUAUUGUGGUAUUUUAGCUUACUACCCAAAAUCCUAAUACACUCAAACUCUCAAAUCACUAGACUCUUAAAAUCACUCUUUAAAUAAAGAAAAGAACUGAAGAACUCGAUGAUUUACAAAUGAAGGGAGCCAGCGGUUUUAUAGCCAAAAUUAGCUACCGUUCAUUUAAUAUUUAAUUAUUAUUAUUAUUUUAUUAAUUUUCCUUUUCUUUUCCUUCUUCGGUCUGACAUCUCUUUUUCUUCUCUCUUUCUUCUUUUUCUUCUUUCUCUUUUGUUUCUUUCCUUGGGCGGCAUCUACAUGGCCUUUAAUUUCCUUCAAUUUGGGUGGCCAUUUUGAAAUAUGUUAAUGAUGCUAAACCGCCCAUGACUUUGACAUUCUCCCACUUGGAGAUUAGAUUGAGAAUCAAUCAAUCUCCACAACAUCCUUUCUGCUUCGCCAUAAUCAUGUUGCCUACAUUUCUGCUAGGCCACAAGAGGAUCUACUCCAGAUAAACUUGUCAGCAUUUAUCGGCUUAGCCAAAACAUCUGCUAGGUUCUCCUUCGUAUGGAUUUUCUGUAAAUCCACAUUUCCAUCUUCCACUACUUCUCGAACGAAGUGAUACUGAACUCCUAUAUGCUUUGUCCUGGAAUAAAAGGCUGGAUUUCUUGCAAUGUGAAAGGCACUCUGACUGUCACAAAACACAGAAAUUUGCUCUUGUUUGUGCCCGAGCUCCUCCAAUAAUCUUUGUAUCCAAAUAGCUUCCUCGCAAGCUUGUGUAGCUGCCAUGUAUUCUGCUUCUAUUGUAGAUAAAGCCACAACAGUCUGCAGUUUCGAAACCCAGCUUACAGCUGCUCCCGCAAGUAUAAACACAUAACCAGUAGUGGAUUUUCUUUUAUCAAGAUCUCUUGCAAUCUGAUCCUCCGUAACAUAAUGCAACAUCUGAGGUUCAUUUGAUGUAUCUCAGAAUCCUCUUCACAACUAUCCAAUGCUCUCCACCGGGAUUCGCCAUGUAUCGACUGACUGCUCUCACUGCUUGUGCAAUGUCUGGUCUAGUACAUAUCAUAGCGAACAUUAAACUUCCCACUACUGAUGCAUACAGUACUCGAGACAUCUCCUUCCUCUCUGCUUCAUUGCUAGGACACAUACUUGAGGAUAAUUUGAAAUUAACAGGAAGUGGGGUAGAAAUUGACUUACAAUCUUGCAUGUUGAAGCGCCACAAGAUUUUCUUCAAGUAAUUCUUCUGCGAAAGCCAAAUCUUCCUGUUAUUUAUGUCUCGGUGAAUUUGCAUUCCUAGAAUCUUGUUUGCUGGUCCCAAGUCCUUUAUUUCAAACUCCCUAGCCAACUGUGCCUUCAAUUCUUGGAUUCGAUCUUUGUUAGGGCCUGCUACCAACAUGUCAUCCACAUACAACAGUAAAAUAAUGAAAUCAUUAUCUUCAAACCUUUUAUAAUAUGCACAAUGGUAUGAACUGAGUCUGUUGUAUCCAAGGCUCAUGAUAAAGGAAUCAAAUCUCUUAUACCAACACCUCGGCGCCUGUUUGAGACCGUAUAAAGAUUUGUUCAACCUGCAAACCAAGUUCUCUUUUCCCGUUUCUGCAAAACCUUCUGGUUGGAGCAUAUAUAUUUCUUCUUCAAGUUCUCCAUGAAGAAAUGUAGUUUUCACAUCUAACUGCUUUAAAUGUAGGUCAAAUGUAGCACACAUUGCCAAGACUACUCUGACUGUCGUGAGUCAAACCAUCGGCGAAAAUAUCUCGUUGAAGUCAAUACCUUCUUUCUGAGCAUAUCCUUUCACCACUAAUCUCGCACGAUACCGCUCUACUUGGUCAUUGCCUUCACGUUUGAUCUUGUAGACCCAUUUGUUUCCAAUGGCUUUUCUUCCACGUGGUAGUGGUACAAGUUCUCAUGUCUUGUUAUUAUGUAGAGCUUCAAUUUCUUCCUGCAUUGCUGUCAUCCACAAAGCAACAUCUGAGCUUUCUAAAGCUUCAUGGAAAGUUAAAGGCUCUCUAUCCUCUGUUAGAAGACAGUAUGCAACGUUGAUCUCUGUAACAUACUCCGAGUGCCACAUUGGCGGUCGUCUCUCACGAGUUGACCGACGAACUUCUGGAGCCUCGGACUCGACUAGUUUUUGUUUCUCGUGCUCUGGUUCUGCUUCAAAAGAAUCUGAAUCUUCUGGAUUAUUUUCCACAUAUACCUGUACAGUUUCUGACUUUUCUUUUACACUACUAUCAUCUUCAUUUUUCCUUUGCAGUUGAUCUUCUAUGAAGAUAACAUCUCUGCUGAUAACGAUCUUGUGGGCAGUGGGGUCUCACAGACGAUACCCCUUUACUCCAUCAGCAUAUCUCAAGAAGAUACAUCUUCUAGAUUUUGGAUCCAGCUUUGUUCUUUCUUGGGCAUUGUACAUCACGUACACAAGACAUUUAAAUGCAUGUAGGUAGGAAUAAUCAGCUGGCUUUCCAGUCCACAUCUCCAUCGUUGUCUUUAGCCCAAUAGCUGUAGAUGGCAACCGAUUUACUAUAUAACAAGCAGUUUUGGCUGCUUCUGCCCAGAAUGAAUUAGGUAGACCAGCAGUCCUCAACAUAGCUCUUAUUCUUUCUGUAAGAGUUCUAUUCAUCCGCUUCGCCACUCCGUUUUGUUGAGGAGUGUAUGCUACAGUGAACUGUCUCUGAAUACCUUCUUGCUUACAGAAAGCAAGAAACUCGCCGUCUGUAUACUCUCCACCAUUAUCCGUCCUCAAGCACUUAAUCUUUUUAGCAGAUUCAAGUUUCACCCGCGCUUUGUAUUCUUUAAACACUGGAAAUACAUCUGACUUUUUCUUAAUUAGAUACACCCAACAUCUUCUGGAAUAAUUAUCAAUGAAAGUCGCCAUGUACUUUGCACCUCCCAUGGAUAUAUCCGGUGAUUUCCAAACAUCAGAAUGAAUCAAGUCUAGAAUAUAUUUACUUCUAGAAUAGAUCUACUAAAUUUUAAUCUAUGCUGCUUACUGGUAACAUAAUGCUCGCAAAAAGGUAAACUUACCGAUUUAAGCCCUGGAAGUAAUUUUCGCUCAGAGAGAAUCUUCAAACAUUGUUCCGACAUGUGGCCAAGUUUGAGAUGCCACAUCAUCAUUAACUCUUCUCCAUUUGAUGCGACACAUGCAUCAGCCUCCUGUAGUGACUCUCCUUUAAGCAUGAAUAGAUUAGCACCGAUCUUUUCUGCCUUCAUCAAUACAAGCUCUCCUUUAACAAUCUUCAUAAUUUCAUUCUCCACAUGAGUUUUGCACCCAUAACUGCCUAUUUGUCCCAAAGACAAUAGAUUUUUCUUCAGGUCAUUGACAUGUCGUACCUCCCCAAUUGUGCGAAUUGUACCAUCAAAUAUUUUUAUUUUGAUAGUACAAAUACCAGCGAUCUCCAAGGCAUGAUCAUCUCCCAUAUAUACAGAUCCUCCUGAGAUAGGUUCAUAUGUCUAGAACCAUUCUCUCCGAGAGGUCAUGUGCCAGGUAGCUCCUGAGUCUAUAAACCAGACAUCAGAUAGUCGUUUUCUGCCUUCUGAAAUAGUUAUUGCCCCAGUGUAAAGAAUUUCGCUAUCAUCCGAGGUACUUGCUACACACCCCUGAGCAUUUGAUGACUCAGGUUCUUUAUCCUCUUUUCUCUUCUAGUUACUCCAACACUCUUUCUUGACGUGUCCUUUCUUGCCACAGUUGUAGCAUUUAACAUUAUUCUUACUUCUGGAUUUUGAUUUACCAUGAUUUUGACUCCCACUAGGGCCACGUUCCGUUGAUCUCCCUCUCGUCACCGAUAGCACCUCCGCUUGCUGCGAAAUUGCUUGUCUGUUUUCCUUAUUUUUCCGCCUGCUCUCCUCAUUUAAUAUGAAAGCUGCAACAUCGUCGAAAACUAGACUAUCCGCUGGAUUGUUGUUCGUUAGGUUGAUGAUGAGUUGAUCAUACGAAUUUGGUAGACUUUGAAGUACAAGCUCUGCAUGUUUAUUCUCCUCUAUAUUAUGACCCAACGUUGUGAGUUGUGAAAAUAGAGUCUUCAAGGUGUUGAUGUGGUCGAUCACCAUUGUAGAUUCCACCAUUUGAAGAGUAUAGAGUUUCCUCUUUAAGAAGAUUUUGUUGUGUAGUGACUUAGCCUCAUACAAUUUUGUGAGAGUAUCCCAUAUUUCCUUCGCUGUAUUUUUCUCUGCUACACUAGAUAAUACUCCAUCUGCAAGUGCCAAGUGUAGAUCAGAAAUGGCGUUGCCAUCUAUCUCGUUCCACUUGUCAUCAGUUAUCUCCAAAAGCCUUUCUCCAAUUACUGCUAAGCAAUUAUUUUUUCUCAAAACAGCUUUCAUCUUCAUUUUCCACAAUAAAAAAUUGUUUCCGUUAAAUUUCUCAAUUUCAUACUUUGCCGCCAUUUUAUUGAUAAAUACCGCACACAAGCAAGUGUACCACCUUGAAUAGUUGUGAGUAUGUGUGAGAAUGCACAACAGGAAAGUUCCCAGGAAACACUGGAGGGGUCACAAUGGUCCCACUUAAAACCCAGACUCCUUAAGUUCUUAUCGCCUUUGUGAUAGAACUUUCAUAGACAUGUACAAAACCACACAGUUGUUUUACUCACACCAUUAUUCCCUGCUUUGCACCGCAAAAUUCUUGGAUUGCUCCCACCGUUUUACGUGAAUAGUACCGUAUACGUGAACAGUGCCGUAUACGUGAAUAGUACCCCUUACGUGAACAGUACCCGACUCCAAAAAAUACAACUAAUAGCUCUGAUUCCACUAUUACAAAAUUGGUGAGUGAAGCAGACACGCAACUAAAGUGAAAUUGGAAGAAAAUAAAGAACAAGUACAAAAAAUGGACACAAAAAAUUACGUGGUUCAGCUUUUAGCCUACGUUCACAGGUGAAAACAGAAGGAAAAUAUUUUACUAGUGAAAAGAAGUUACAAGUAUUGUGGUAUUUUAGCUCACUACCCAAAAUCCCAAUACACCUAAACUCUCAAAUCACUAGACUCUUAAAAUCACUCUCUAAAUAAAGAAAAGAACUAAAGAACUAGAUGAUUUACAAAUGAAGGGAGCUAGCGGUUUUAUAGCCAAAAUUAGCUACUAUUCAUUUAAUAUUUAAUUAUUAUUAUUAUUAUUUUAUUAAUUUUUCUUUUCUUUUCCUUCUUCGGCCCGACAUCUCUUUUUCUUCUCUCUUUCUUCUUUUUCUUCUUUCUCUUUUGUUUCUUUCCUUGGGCGGCAUCUACUUAGGCCUUUAAUUUCCUUCAAUUUGGGUGGCCAUUUUGAAAUAUGUUAAUGGUGCCAAACCGCCCAUGACUUUGACAUACUCACAUUCCUUUGCAGUUGACAUUGAUCUUUUGCUUAUUCUUAUAUGUUCAAGGCCAAUAGUGAAGCUCCUUUCAAAAAAUAAAAAUAAAAAUAAAAUAGAGAAAUUGUGGGCUUUUAUUCAGACCCCUGAAACCUUUCUAAUAAUAUAAAAACUCUAAUCCUUGAGCAAAAGGUUAAAAAAAAAAAGAAUUCUCUGUUUAAAUAUCAGUUGGCUUAAGAUCAAUGUUGUUUGCCUCCUGUCUUUUCUUUGUUUUGUUUGUUUGUUUGUCAUUUUAUUAGAUUUGCUUUGUAUCUAAUUUUACUUGGAGAUUAAAGAUGAGUGAGAACUGCCCUUUCUUCUGAAGCAACCUACAAAUUUUAGAAUAGGGCCCAGAGUAUUAAAGAUUCAAUUAACCACAAAAAGUUAUUUACUUGCAUCACUUGCAAACUUAAGCUUAUCAUCCCAAAUUGAGCUGUUUGCAUUAGAAAUUUUCAUGCAUUCACGAGCAAUAUCAUCAUGUCACAAGAUAGCCUGAAAAGCAAGUUUCCUCUGUUUUCGUUCCUUUGUUUUCAUUCCCCUGUUUAUUGAUUUUUGUUUUUUUUUGGCCGGAAAUUAAGAAGAAAAAAUUGGUAAAACAAGUUGCCUCUGUUUUCAUUCCCCUGUUUUUUGUGGAAAGAAUAAAUCAAACUUUAUUUUUUUUUUAAUUUUAUAUUUUGGUUUUUGAAUAUGCAUAAAUCAAAUCAUAUAUUAUUGAUCUUACUUCGAUUAUUUGCUGUUUAGUUUCUCUCUUAAAUGCUUUUUGUGUGUUUCCGGUAUUUGCUUUUAUAGAAGUUUUAGUCCCGAAUCAUUCGUUGCAAUUCCGAUAGGAAUUGAGUAAGGCCUUCACCUUAAAACGGGGCUCAGGGGAGAGGGGAACCCCUCCCAAGGAUUUGCUUUAUGUUUUAUUAGGCAUAUACAUUGCUCUGUCAAUCAAUAUUCAUUUCAAUUUCACAGUACACAAGCAAUGUAUAUACCAAAAUUAUUCUAUGAAAACUUAAUUAUUUCUUUAGAAUAUAUGAAAACGUAGAGUUGUGAACUAGUGCUUUCUUCUUCAACAUGCGUCAACAGGGCAACAAUAACCAAAUACAUGAUAUAGAAAAGCGGUGCAUGACUAAUUCUUUUUCUUUUGCUUUAUGCACUAGUUUUGCAUUGUUUACUUCCCUUAAUAUCGAUGUUUUGCACUUAAUAAUAAUGUUUUAAUUGUGUUUUACUUUUGUAGGUGCAAUUCUAUUGAUUGGUGAUAAAAUUGAGCUAAAAGAUGAUGUUUAAGGAGGAUUGUUCUCUUGGAGAAAUUAUGAGCGUCAGAAGAACUUUGUUGAUAAGGCGUGGGCGCGUGCUGUCAACUGCGGACCUGCAGUUUUUAGUUUAACGUGUUUUGUAUUUUUGGUUAUUUUUGUAAUUACGAAUUUAAUAUUUCAGAUAUUAGUAUUUUAUUUUAAAUAGAAUUCUAAAAGAGAAGAGAGAGAGAGUAUUUAAGGGAGGAAUCUAUUGUGAAAAAGGGGGGAUUUGGAUUGGAGAAAAAGAAAGAAACCCUAGAUCUUAAUUUUUCUCUUCUCUCUAUGAAGAACUAAACCUAUUUUUCUGGUUGAAGGAUAAUGAAGCUUUGAUUCAUCACUACUGUGAGAUCUUUCUUGUGCUUUAAUUGUUUUAUUGCUUUUUGGGUAUUUGUUUAUUCUCUGAAUUAUUUUCAUGAUUAUGUUUGUUAAUUAGGUAAUUGGCCACUAUUUAAUUAUCAACUUAAUCUAUUGUCAAUUAAAGGAUUCAUCGUAUGAAGAAUUUAAUGUUUGUGACAAAUAACAUAGCAGAAAGUUGUGUUGUGAGAAUAAACAAUCUAAUUUAAAUGAAUCAUCAUAUGUGUUGAUUAGGAUUUGGGUCUCUCUGGUUUUUCAGGCUGUCAAUUGAUUAAAUCCUAUGAUCGUAUCUAGGGUUGUCUAUUGAUUAGGGAAAUAACCAACGGUCGUACCUUGGUUAUCGACUAGUUAAGGAGAGAUUGGCUAUUAGAGGGUCUCAGUAGCUAUAACCGGUCUAUUCAUAAGUAAUAAUAAUCUAUAUUUGAAUCAAUGAUCAGUAGUCGAAUCAAGCUGAGUUAAUUCCUUCAACCAGAGCUUUCUCCAAUUUGAAUUACAACUUUAAUUUACAUUCUCGUUAUUUUAAUUUGAUUUUUAUUAUUGUCAACAAUUCCCCCAUUUUACGUUUUACGUUUCAAAAGGAUUUAAAUAAUUACCGAUCUCUGUGGACACGACCCUGCUCAAUCACUAUACACAAUUUAUUUAGAGUAUGAAUUUAUUUUUGUUGGCUUCGACACCCAUCACAGGUCAUUGUUAUUGCUCUCAUCAACUCUUUUCUCACACAUUCCUCAGCAGUUACCUGUGAUCUUUUUCCUCUUUCAACUUGUUCUUAAAUAGAGAAGCUCACCAACUCUCUAAUCCCAGAUAAUUAAAGAGGUGCACGUUUUCUAAAUCCUUGACAUCUGCUCUUUCAUAAGUUCCAUCUACUUUCCAAGAAAAAAUUUUCUCUGGUUUGUUUUAAUAUUGUAACUUAUUUUGCAUGAGUUUUAAGUCAGUAUUCAUUGUUAAAGCCUGUGCUCUUAUUAUUUCUUUUGGUUAAUUUGCAUGCUCUUCCCCCCCCCCCCCCCCCCCCCGCCCCCGCGGCGGCGCCCCCCCAAAAAAAAAGUUUAUAGGCUUUUACUCAGACCCUUGAAACCUUUACUGAUAAUACCAAAAACUCUAAUCCUUCAACAAAAGAAAGCAAGAAAAAAAGGUCCUAAGUUUAUUGUCUUUUAUUUGGAUUUGUACCAAAAACUCUGAUCUGUUGGCUUUGUAUCAGUAUUGCUUGUUUGUUGUCUUUUAUUUCAUUAUUUGUAUCUAAGUUUAUUUCAAGAUUACAGAUCAGCAGGAAAAGCCCUUUUUCUAAAGCUAACUAUACAGAUUUUAGAAUAGGGCUCAACCACAUGAAAAUAUUUACGUUGUAAUAUCUCAUAUUAAUAAUCUAAAAGCAACCAAUCCAACAAGUUCAAAUUCAGUCAAUCAUAAAUCAACCAAUCCAACGAGUUCAAAUUCAUCACUUGCAAAAUUAAGUUUUCUUCCGAAAUUGAGUUGUUUCCAUUAGAAAUUUUCCCGCAGUCACGAGUUACAAUCAUCAAAACAAGAUUACUUGAUGCAUUAAUAAUCUUAUUAAAAAAAAUAUACCAACUGUUAAGGGUUAAAAAAAUUUAUUAAAUAAUUGCAUUAAUAUACCAACUGUUAAGGGUUAAAAAAAUGUGCCAUUUUGUAAUCCAUUUAAAUCAAAAUAGUAUGUUUAAUCGCAAAAAAAAUAACUACUGCCAUGAUGGAGCACAUAGAAUAAAAAUAAAACUUUUAGUUUUACUAAUCCUAAAUAUACCAAUUGUUAUCUCCAAAAAAGAAAAUUUUAUUUUUUAAAUUUUUAAAUCAUAUAUUAUACAAAUUUAACAUAUGUUCUAACAGUCGUCUGAUCCCUGCAGAUAUUAAUUGGGUUUAGGGUAAUCCUGUUUACAUAAAGAAUAUUGUUAAAUAAAUGUUUGUUAAUAUGGUUUCAGAUGAUGAUGAUGAGUUGCGACUGCCAAUCAUGCGUAAUAUCAUAAUAAUAUUAAAAACAAUUAUCCCAACAGGUUUCCCAGAAUAUGCUAUAUUAUUACAUAUUAAAGUUAAUUAUAAACUAAUAUAAAAAAAAAGCUCUGACAAAUAUUAUUUCUUGAAAAAUGAGAUGAUUCACCGCUGUUGUGUUUCAUGCUAAUUACUUUUCUCCGGAAAAAUAUUAUAAAUUAAAAUUUAACGAAAGUCUCAAUUUAUACGCUUAUAGCAUGUUCUAUAAUUUUUAUUUUUUAUAUAUAUAGUAUAAUUCAAGAAUUUAUACUGAGUAGAAGCAAAGAUCAAUCCCAUAUGUGGGUAACCAAAAUCCUUCAUAGAACAAGGCACUAUAAUAACCAAAACCAGCCCUUCGUUUUGGUGCCGAUUGAAAACAAUCAUAUUGUGAUUCGCAAAUUAAGUGAGAUUAGUGACCUCUCAACUCAAUCAAAUACUUGCCAAAUUCAUUUCUGAUCAUGCAUCUUACCCCCCCCCCCCCCCCCCCUCCUCUUUUUCGUGUAUAAAUUGAGCAUGGUGGCUUUGAAAAUUUUAAGAUUCUUGAUGAUUCCAAAAUGAGAAUAUCAAUUGUUAAGCCAAUAGUAGAUUAUUGACGUUUUAAAUUGAUAAAUAAACACAACUCUGAUUUUAAAAAGUUAUGAUAACAACUUUAAAAAUUUAAAUGUGGAUAUAAAAUCACCCAUAAUAUAACGAUAUGAGAUUGAAAUAAUUUAUUUAAAUAUAAAUCAUCCGAUGUAAUGAAUACAAAACCAACCAUCAAUUUAAAUUUUUAAAUAAUGACAUUGACAUGUGCUAUAAAUGAGUUCCAGGAAAUAAAUAUUAAUGUAAAUGAUAGCAACAGCUUCAUCCAUUAAUAUAAUUCUACUAUUAAGCAUGAAAUAUAUGACCAUCAACUUACAAUUGUAAUCAUUAAACUAGAAAUCAUUGAGUAUUACAUGAAAUCAUUAAUAUUGAACCUAAAAGAUAUAUGAAACUAAUGUUAAUAUGAAAUCUAGGACCAUUAACUUAAAAUUGUAAUUAGGAAAUAAAGCUUUACAUGAAAUCACUGUCAUUGAGCUUGAUAAUUCUACCAUUAAACAUAAAAUUAAUGCAAAUAGGAAGCAUAAGACCAUCAACUCAAAAAUUGUAAUCAUCAAAUUUUGAAUACCACAAAUUAAAUUUACUCUAUCUUUGUAAUGAAUACAUUCUACAGCCUUAAAAAAUACAUAAAUAAAGGGUUAUUUUAGCAUUUAUACAAGUGUGUAAAGUAAAUGUUGACUUUUAAAGUUGAUUCAAUAUAUAUAAACAACAUUAUUGAAUCAUUAUCUUUUUUUUUAUAAUCAUUAUUAAUAAACAUACUAUUUUGAUUAAAAAAAUAAAAUAGUGGAGCUUAAAUAUGUCUAAAAAUUUCAAAAUUAGUAAUAGAAUCAGUAGCGGUUCGAUCUCUAGACAACUUAGGUGGUUGCUUAGAGCCCUACUUUACAAGAAAAUCCUAUAAGAUGAUUAUUUUGUAUAUAAAAGAGGAAAGUGAAUUUAAAAGUCAUUAUUAUGCAUCUAAUUUAUUAUUAUUUUGUAAUUAUCUUUUCUCAAAUAAACUACCGAGUUCCUAUAAAGUUUAUUUAAUGUAGUACUUAGUAGUUUUAAUUCCUACAAAACCGAUAAAUUAAUAGUUUCAAUCCUAUAAAUUCGAUAUUUCAUUGUUAGAAUUAACAACUUAUAAUUAAAAAGUUUUAUAUUCAUUUUAAACCUCUAUAAAAGCCCCACAUUUUAUUACUUAUCCAUUAAAUUUUUCUUCUAACAAUGAAGACAGCAUAUGUUCUUCGUUUUUGAGAGAAAGAAAGAGAGAGGGGAAAAAAAAUCUUGCUUCCUCUACUUUCCACUCAAAAAAAAAAAGAAAAAAUCUAAUAGUUUUAUUCUAUUCUCUAUGGCUAUUAGUCAUUACUCAAAUCUUCAAAUAAUUAAUAUAAAGAUAAAGUUAAUUUAUGAUUUCAUCUCAAAUUUCAAAUUUCAGAUUUUAUUUUUUAUUAUUCUCUUAAUUAAUUGUAUUAUUUAUGUGUUCUUAUUUCUUUUUAAUACAUUCUUUUAUUCAUCUACUAUUUUUUGUGUGCUUUUUUUUUUCUAUUGUGAAAUAAAUAACUAUAUCAAAAAACUUUAGAAAACAGAAGAAUAAAAAAAUUAAUUUAAUGUAGAAAAGAAGUAGUAUAAAAGAUGUAAUUUGAGUUAAAAAAAAGUAAAAAUAUUAUAAUUGAAUUAAAAUUUCAAGGAUUGACAAUAGUGUAAUAUAAUUUUAUUUAAUAAUUUUACAUUUUAGAGAGUGUUUAAAGAAUUGAUUUUCAAUAAAUAUUAUAUAACUAAUGAGUAAUGAUAUAACCACAAACUCUUGUACAAACUUAUUUUGUACAAACUGAUGUGGCAUGAUAAGAUUGGUUGAAUUAAAUAUCACUUGGCUCACGUGAUUUGUUUUUAUUAUUUUAUAUUUUCAUUCAACGAAUGAAUUAAUACCAUGUCAGUUUGUACAAGAGUUUGUGGCUGUAUCAUCACUCAUAACUAAUAUACAUAUUUUUUGUCCUAAAUUUUAAGAAAAACUAAUUAAAACCAUUUGCCUAAGGCCUCAAAUAUGGUUGAGCCAGCCCUGAAUAGAAUAUAAAAGUACAUGAUAAAUAUUUAAAUUAAAACUCGAUAAAAGGUUAACAAAAACACACAUGUUGUUUUUUAGUGAGUUUAAUUUUUUUUUUUUUUUGGGAACAAAUUCAAAACGACAUCAUUUUGGAUGUAUUUUCAUUGGGAUUUGGUUCUUCAAUUAUUUUUCUAAUAGCAGAUCUCAAGAUUGUGUGAUUACAUCACAGCUUAACUUUUACAGUGAUCGAUUCCAAUAGCUCUCUAGUUGAAAUUUAAAUUAAUUAAAUAAAAAAUAACACGGCCCUUAUCAAUUUGACGAUGGUAUGGUGUAAAAACAUCCUCUUGAAAAUUAUGAGUCAUCCAAAAAGAUUAAUUUUUUUGGGAUAUCUUGAAUGGAAGUAAACAUAAUUUUAUGUUUUAUAAAAAGGUAAAACAUUAAGUAAUUAAUAAUAUAUCAAUAUUAAUUAAUAAGUUAUUUACAUUAGGCAAUAUUAUACGUUUGUGAAUUUAUUGGUCAUUUGUUUUUGUACAAUUAUUUCAUGACAUUAUAACGAUAUGAGAAUGACGAUUCAAACUAUCUUGAAUAUUGGAUAAUUGUUUUUUAAUUAACAUUUUGGGGCUGAAUUCAAUCGUGCAUAUAGACAAUUUUAUCUAUUAAAAGAAUUAAUUAUUAUGUUAAAAUUUAUUUUGGAAUUUAAUGACGAAGAAACUGUUUCUUAACUGGAGCUAUGGCUUUGGCCACGAGCUCCUCUGGUGUUAGAUUAUGAACCGGAACUCCGGUUGAAUUCGGUUGUGGUGGCGGUGAGUCCGCCGGAAAAAUCCGGAACUCACUGAGUUCGGAUGCGGACUCGGCCAUUAUUGAAAUAAUGACUAACUAAUUUACUUAGGAAUAAAGACAGAAUUUGGGGGAGGGAAAUUACCAAGCCUUUAAAUUUUUAUAAGUAAAUAGAAAAAGAAAUUCAAGAUGGCCAAAAUUUUUUUGCUGUAUGAGACCCCAAUUAAAGCGGGCAAAUUCCACUCAAACUUUAAAAGUUAGUGUGAGUAUAUAGGUUUGAUUAUUUUAACUUAAAACUUUGACCUAAUUAAACACAAAUUCAUAAUCAUUGUACUUCCAGACAUCAAGCGUGUAAUCAAAAUUCAGUUACUUUUUGUCUUGCAUUAAUUUAAUUGACCAAUAUAUAUUUCUUAAAUAAAUAAUAAUAGUUUGUAUUUUAAUUAAUGUUCCACUAAUCAUUUAUUGUCUCAUAAAUGAUAAUAAAUAAAUUUAUUAUUAAUUAUUUACAUACUAUUCUUACAACUUGAUCAAUGAACAACAUAUAACAUGCCACAUAAAAUAUCAGAGUAACUAAGAUAUAAACUAUGUAUUUCUUGGUCGAAUUGAGUAUCCGUAGCAUUAAAUGUAAAUCACUAAUUACUGCAAAGAUCAAACUUAUAUUUAAACGAGAGAUUUAACAUUAACUAAUACCAAAUAUUGGCGUUCAAUUACAACUUAUGAAAUACUCAACAUAGGUAAAACCACAGAAUCAUACGAUUCAUACGGUUCGUAUAAGCCUUUCGAGGCUAAUGCAUGUGUAGGCUUGAAGACAUCAUUACUAAGAGGCGGCUAAUAAUAUUAUAAUAUAAAAUACUGCUACUCAUGCAACUGGGUAGGAAGGUUUAGUGGCAAUGCCACAGAGACCUUCAGGUGCUUCAACAUCUCUGAGAAUCCUCAUGUAGCCGGCCUCACCCCAGCUCUCCCCCCAUGAAUUCUUAAUUAACCAAUACUUCAUUCCAUCUUCAGUUGCCCCAAAUCCAACGAUAGCAACAGCAUGAGAACACUGAGUUCCACAUCCUCCGUUAAAAAUACCGCCUUUGUAACUCUGGAAGUCUGGUCCACUUCCUUCAAUGCAAAUUGAUACUGGCUGCAUGGCUACAGCUUGGAGUAAAGCCUGCUCAUCAUUGGGUUUUACAUCUUCAAAGUUACUAAUUUUAGCAGCUGCCUUGACCUGUGCGUCUUCACAAGUCCCUUGGACUUCCUUGUAUGGAUAAUCCGCUUCUGAGGCAAUACCCUGGUUUUUUAUAAUAUAUUUAAAGGCAUUGUCCAUCCAACCGCCACCGCAUCCACGGUUACCAUCUAUGGAGCAGUCUAGUAUUUGCUGCUCCGAAAGUGGAAUAAGAUUACCACUACUAAUCUCAGUCACCCCUUCCACCGCCGCCACAGUUGAAAAUGCCCAACAGUCUCCUGCAUCGUACAUAUUAAGGAAAAAAAAAAAAAAAAGGCUUGAUUAAGUUACAUGAAACAUGCCCCAGCAGGGGUUUGGCAGACGGUUGUCAAGCUGUUUUUAUUAAUUAGCUGAUGGUCAACUGAGUUUGAGUUCUGAAAGAGGUUGGAGGCUAAAUAAUCUAUUAUAGUUACUUCAUAAAUAUUUAGUAUACGAUUUACUUACCACAUUGACCUUGGUUCUUAAUAGGAGUGACAGCUCCUUUCUCUCUCCAGUCCAUGCUAGUUGGAACGUCAGUCAGGUUUUGAUACUUGAAGGAUGCUGUUGUGGAUUGCCGUGAUGAAGAUGACUGGCUUGGCACCCUGUAUCCUGUAUAUGAAGCACGAAACUCCUCAUUAGUUAAGUCUGAAAAUUCAUUGGUGCCUAACUUGUACGUCCGAUUCGCCUCCUCAUUGGCUUUCUCAAUGUAUUCAAGGUUUUCUUUGAAUAUCUUAAACCGCUUUUCCUUCUCCAGGUCGUCCUUGUAAGUGCGCCCAUGCUCAGCCAUCCAUUUUUCAUGCUUCUCAACAAUGGAUGGUUCAUGCAGCGACCGGCCGGCGACCGACACCAUUUUAGAUGAAUAAGUCACCAGAAUGAUCAUAGACAGGGCAAUGAUAUCAAAGCUUUUCCCCAUAAUAAUUGGUAGGUAUUUGCAAGUUGAACAAGGUUGUUGUUUUUUUUUUUUUUUUUUUCCCUUCAAAUUAUAGAGGCUAGCUAGCCAGCUGGGGGUAAGUUGUGAAUACUUGAAGCACGCAUUGCAGCUCUAUAUAUAGUACUUGUAGAUAGUGGAUUUGUGCUCUCAACAUGGGUCGCGUACAAUAUUUGCCUAAUGCAUGAGACGUAUGCGUUGCGUUAGUCGUGCCCCAUACUUCACGAUUUUCAAUCAAGCUAAUUAGUAUGCGAAACCGGACAACCAAGUUAUUAUCAGUUAUCGCCGUGAUUCGCGUACUUCGUGCUUUUGAGGCUUGCUAGCAAUGACUUGACUAGCUUUUAGCGAAGUUACAAAAAGAAUUAUGAACUAAUUUGUAGAUGGACUUUUAUCGAUGAGACUUGCGGCGACGUGGAAAACAUUGGUGUCAUUUUUUUUUUCUUUCAUAAAUCAACUUAAAAAAAGGAAAAUUGGAUAAUAAUGUGAACUCAUUUGGACGGAGUAAAAUAAUUCUUACAAAAUCUACAAUGCAUCUAGCUAGGAUGAACUUUUAUAUAUCUGCGAUAUUAUGAAGAAAUCAUUACUAAUAUGCAUUACAUAAUAUGGCAUAAAAUAUGACACUAAUACUAGAAUUUCUUCCUUUAAGUGCCAAUUUGGUAGUUUAUCUUAACCUGUCAGUGACAACUGUUGUUUCAAGUGCACUUUUUGAGUCUUUAUGCAUACUAUAAUAUAUAGGCUUCAAUGGGGUCUCCUCGUAACUUUCUUGCCUAUCACCUUGAAUAUAAUCAUAACAUCCCGCCAAGUUAAUUUUUUUAGACCAUAGCACGUCAAAAUCUUUAAUGGAUAUAUUACUAAUAGAAUAAUGGUCAAUAUUCUAUUUUUACAUACGGUUUAAGAUAUCUAAUAAAUUGAUAUGGAUUUAAUUUCCUAAAUAGCAAAUUAGUGAAUUAUCAUAACUUUUUAAAAACUUAAAUUUGAUGUUAAAGAAAAGGAUAUAUAUAUUAACUUAUUGAUAUAAAUAAUGCUAAGUAUAUAUAUAUUUGCAGCCAAAAGUUAAAUAUGGUACAACAAUAAAAAAAGAUACUUUACACACUCAGUUAUAAUAAAUUAAUAUUUAUAACGAUAAUAUGACCCAAUACCCAUAUUGACCCAAUUACUAUCAUAAUAUUGUAUUAGGAUAUUAAAAUUCCACAAUAAUGGAGAUGACAUAAAAUUUGUUUAUAAAAAUGUACAAUACAAUAUUUAAAUUUUUUGCGGCUGAGAAUCGUGAGAACAGUAUGGUCAUCACAAUUAAUUGAUUGUGAGGAGAAUAAAGAGACCAUUACCAUAAUAGCUAUGCAUAAUUCAAUGGCCCGAGAUGGAUUGGCGGAUGGAAUCAAGAAUAAUUUGAUUCAAACUUAAGAAUAAUACAUUAUACAGAAUUACAGAUUGAGAUUAAAUAUACUCUCUUGUUUUUAUAAACAUGUGCAAAAUGCAUGCUUUCUCUUUCAUCUCUGCUUCAAUCCCACUUUAGGGUUUGUUUGUCAAAAGUAUUGUUUUUGAAAAAUAGAUAUUGUUUAAAGCAAAUAAAAUAAAGAUCAUUAAAAAAAUAUAACAACAUAAUGUUUAAUUGAUAAUGAUUUUUGCCAGUCUUAUGAAGGACUACAAAACCGAAUACAAAAUGCCAAAAUUUUGUAACUAGGAAUCAUACCAAAUAACAUAUUAAUUUAAAAUUUAAUUCUUACUUUUAAUUCUUACUUUUAACAUCUAUAUAUGUAUACAUAGAUACACGGUGGGUCCCUCCGAGCAUCGGAUGAUUUUUCGGGCAACGGACAUCUCAUAGAGUUAAGAUCGUCAUCAUCAUCGUCAUUAUACGAAUACAUUACUUUGAAGGAGCUUAUGUUGGACUCCAAUUUUAGGGGUGGCGGCAUUGCCAUUAUAAAUUCAAUAAGAACCACAGUGGACAAUUGUUACAUUUCGCAUUUCACUACCGCUGGCAUUUCCAUCCAAGAUGGCCACGAAACGUAUAUAAGAAAUUCCUUCAUCGGCCAACACAUCAACAUCGGCGGGGAUGAUCGCGAAAAGGAUUUCUCCGGCAUCGGAAUAAACAUCACGGGAAACGACAACGCGGUCACUGAUGUUGUUAUAUUUUCAGCAUCAAUUGGAGUAAUGGUACAGGGGCAGGCCAAUAUGCUGACGGGAAUACACUGUUAUAAUAAGGCUACUGACUUGGGAGGUACCGGCAUUUACAUCCGGGCACCAGCAUUGAUAAUAAAUUUACUUAUUACAAUGGUUCUCCGUGAAAUCUCCUCAAUGGGAUUUUAUGAGUUGAAAAUAAUGAAUUAUCAAUAUAAGCAAAAAUAUAUUUUUCAAUAUACAACUUAAUUUGCUCUUAAAAUAUUUUAAUAAUAACAAAAAUAUUCAUAUAUUGCAACACACAGAACAAAUAUGAAAUGCAUGAUAAAAUUAUAUAUUUUAAAACUAGAUAAAAGAUUAAUUAGAAAAUUAUAAAUUAGAAUUAGGAAGACUUACAACUUAUGGUCAGUGUUGAAAGACUAAAUAAUUAAUUUUACUUGAAUAAAAAAUAAAAAGAUUAAAAACUGAUCCAUUAACCAUUAUACUAACAUUUUGUUAUGAUUAUUUUUUAUUUUAAUAUUUGUUCUCGUGUCUUUAAUAAAGUUUCAUGAAAUGUUAAUAACUAAUUAAAUAAUUUAUAAUUAAAAAUAUAAAUUAGGGACAGUAUUAAAUAUUUUAAAAUUACUGGAGUCAAUUUUAAAUUUUACAAUUCAGCUGGGACAUUUUUCAUAAAUAACAAAUAAAAUACAUAUUUUUAGUAUAAUUAUAAAAAAAAAAAUUAAAAGCCAGCUGGGGCCUGUGCCCCACCUCGUCCCACGCUGGCUCCGUCCCUGUUAUUCGUUCCCUCUCACAUUUCCGGCACCGGCAUCAUCCCUUCCCCUCUUCACCAAUACCCUCUAUUCGAAAUUACUGAAAUACUCUCCUCAUCUCCACCACUACCACCACCACCACCAUGUUGUCAUGCACAGUCAAAUGCUUCAAGGCCUUCAAAACCCCUUUCAACCCGGGAACCCAAAACCCGACCCGUUUGUGCAGUCAUCGACGUUAUGAUGGGCUGGACGGCUGAUGUUUUCAAGAAUUUUGAAGGUCCCAUUGUUGGGUUCUUCACUUCUGGUGCUUGUUCAGCAGCGUGGAGUGUGCCAUGUAGCAGGCUCGCAUCCAAGAUGUCAAACCGGGAGAGGCCCAUUUACUUCCUGGGUUACCCAAGGAUAUGGCUUUAUUCGAAUCGGAGCUUAAAUACGGGCCUCACGGGCCCCUUCCUCGUGGUCCACUACCUUUGCGAGGUGCGCCCGGUUCAGAGAAAAUGAGUCCAUCGAACCCCGUGAUCAACCACACUGGAUGAAGGAAGUGGAGGAAUGGAUGGCUUUGAUGUUCAACACCUGUGAUGAUCUUGAGGGACCAUUUAUUAAUCAUUUAGGGGAGAUUAUCAAUUUUCCCCCUAUUGUAAUCAAUAUAUACUAUUUACCUCCUUCCUGUUUUUAUAAUGACCAAAAACCCCUCCUGAUAACAUAAGUUUAUAAUAUUAUCCUUAUUUUCAACUACUCUUUUAUUUAUAUUUAUUAUAAAUUAAAUAAAUCACAUGAAUAUAAAUUAAAUAAAAAAUUAAGCAUUAAAAAUAACAAAUAUAUGUUUUGAUAUGAGCAAAAAAAUCAAUAAUAUAAUUUUUUCUUGAACUUAUUUAUUUUUUGAAAAUUUUCUUAUAAUAAAUAUAUAAGAAAAUUAUUAUAAAAUGAUAAAAAACUAUUAUAAGAAAACUUGAAUGACAAUUAAAAAUUUAUUAUAAGAUAAUUAAAAAAAUAUUUUGCCUAUUCUUUUUACAUUUAAUUUUAAAAUAUUAUAAAUGUUUAUUAUAAGAAAAUAUUCACAAAAUAAAUAAUUACAAGAAAAAAUUAUUAUUAAAUUUUUUGCUCAUAGUAAAACAUAUAUUUCUUGUUUUUAAUACUUAAUUAUUUAUUUAUUUUUUAUUCAUGUGAUUUAUUUUAUUUAUAAUAAAUAUAAAUAAAAGAGCAAUUAAAAAUAAAAGUAAUAUUAUAAACUUAUACUGUCAAGGGAAUUUUUGGCCAUUAUAAAAAUAGUAAAUGAAUAAAUGAUAUAUAUUGAUUAUAGUAGGGGAAAAUUGGCAAUCUCCCAUUAUUUAGUCAAUCGAAUGGGAAAGCCAAUGUGGGGAGUAGGCCCAUUAUUACUUGAACAAUUUUACAAAUGGGGCGGGUUCAGUGCUUCGUGAUCGUGAGAUGAGAACCAAUCGGUGGAGUUCUAACAUGAACGAAGAUGAGAUCAUUCAAUGGUUGGAUUUGAAAUCAUGAGGAUCUGUGUUAUAUGUGUCAUUUGGUAUCGAAGUGGGUCCAAGUUAGAUGAGCAUUUAGUACUAGCCAAUGCUUUAGAAGUAUCAAAUGAACCAUUUAUUUGGGUAAUUCAAACUGGUGCUGGUAGAUUGGAUCCUCCGUGUCAUUUAACUGGCUUAGACAGACCAGCAGAAGGCAAUUAUUUUCAUAGUGGUUUGGGUAGUAAAGCCAGUAAAAAGGGAUUGAUAAUAAAUGGAUGGGCGCCACAAUUAUUGAUAUUGAAUCAUCAAUCAAUGGGUGAAUUUUUAUCUCAUUGUGGAUGGAAUUCAAUGGUAGAAGCAAUUGGUGUGGGGUUCCAAUUUUAGCAUGGCCAAUUAGAGAUGAUCAACAUUACAAUGCCAAAUUGGUGAUCAAUCAUCUAAAGGUGGGGUACAUGAUUUCUAAUGAUCAAUCAAAAUCGAUUCAAAAGAAUGAUAUAGUGAUUGGUAUAGAAAAGCUUAUGAGUGAUCAAGAGAUUAAAAAACGAGCUCACAUGCUUCGCCGUAUAUUUUAUCAGGGCUUUCCUAUGAGUUAUGUGGCUUCUUUGAAUGCUUUCAAAGAUCUCAUUAGCCAGAAAUCAGUCUAACAAAAAUAAUUAUUGUGUAUAUUAGGCUUUUGUUACAUUGGCUUGGGUGUAAAUAAAUCUACUUUAUCAAGAACAGACAUCUCAGCACCUAAAUAAUGUUAGGAAAUUGAGUUUCAUCCCAAGAUCACUCCAAGCAAUUUGUCAAGCAACAAAUUAACAAAAAAUUUAAAUGGAGAAUACAACAAUCACACAACACAAGAUUUACGUGGAAAACUCUAAAUUCGGAGAAAAACCACAGCCGUUGUCAAGAGACAACCAGAGAAAAAAUAUUCACUAUAUGGAAAAUUAUUACAACCACACUCUCAUAAAUAAUUUUCUCUCACCCAAGCCCCAAAUACAUAAUUGCGAAAAAUAUUCCUUAACAAAGCAAACCCGUAAUACCCAUAUUGAGGAGCCAAAUGCUCCUUCAAUAUAAAUACAUGCUUAAGAAUAUUUCUCUCCCAUGUUGGAAGCUCUCAAUGCUUCUCUUACAUAUUCUUGCUUCUCAAAUUUUGGGAUUUCUUCUCUGGGAUACAAAAAUGAGAGGGAGAACCCCUCUAUUUAUAGCCAAACUUUGGCUUCAUUUUCUCCCUUUUCUUCUUUGCAUGGGCGGCACCCACCCAUUUUUUCUUGUUCAAUGAUGGUGGCUAACUUGGCCACCCACCAUCUUUGAAUUCAGAGAUGAUGGCUCAACCACCCAUCAUUUUGGCUUCUUUUUUUAAAAUCAAUUUUCAACAAUCUCUACCAUGAUUAAAAAAAAAAAAUUUCAUAGUCACUACUACAAAACAUUGUCUUCACCAAUAGUUAUAAUUCUCAAUAUAAAGAAUUAUCACACUACACCAUAAUGAGUAUACCACUUAGAAUCAACUAUUCUAAGAUUUUUCUCGGCACAUGUCAAAAUAUCCUGCUGAAAUUUAUAGUGCAAUUCUCAUGCUUGGUUUCAAUGAGAAUUCUUCAGCCAUGACAUAACUUUUCCACCACACACGUUGCAUUUAUACCAAGCCAAUGCCCUCGUGCAAACUUGUGGACCCCACUGAUAAUAACAUGUUCUCUUUCAUGGUAACUUGGAGAUCUACAUGCCAAAAGAACUAAUCCAAUCUCUUAUCAAAAACAAAUUCACCAUCUGCGAGAAAUAUCAGUAUUUCUUUUACUGAUUCUGGAGUAAUUUGUCGAGCCCGCUCCACCUUCUUGACAAUUUUCUUGAGGCGCCAAAAUUGUCCACACCUUCAAAUCUUUGUGCAUACCAGAUUGGAUACACCUUUGACUUGAAUUCUCCACAAGCCAACAAAAAAUCAUUCUCCCAUUAAUUUUUUAACAACAUCAAACUCCACCAAGUUUGAAAAAUACCAGCUACUGACAUAUUUGCUUCAUAAAUGACCCUAUACUCUUCACCACGGACUAUUUAGAUUGGCUCCCACUGCUUCACAUGAACAGUACCGUAUACACGAACAAUAUCAUAUACGUGAAAUAGUAAUGUCUACGUGAACAGUACCCCGACAUCAAAACUUCAAUCAAUGGCUCUGAUACCACUGUUAGGAAAUUGAGUUUCCUUCCAAGAUCACUCCAAGCAAUUUGUCAAGCAACAAAUUAACAAAAAAUUUAAAUGGAGAAUACAACAAUCACACAACACAAGAUUUACGUGGAAAACUCCAAAUCCGGAGAAAAACCACAGCCGUUGUCAAGAGACAACCAGAAAAAAAAUAUUCACUAUGUGGAAAAUUAUUACAACCACACUCUCAUAAAUAAUUUUCUCACCCAAGCCCCAAAUACAUAAUUGCGAGAAAUAUUCCUUAACAAAGCAAACCCGUAAUACCCAUAUUGAGGAGCCAAAUGCUCCUUCAAUAUAAAUACAUGCUUAAGAAUAUUUCUCUCCCAUGUUGGAAGCUCUCAAUGCUUCUCUUACAUAUUCUUGCUUCUCAAAUUUUGGGAUUUCUUCUCUGGGAUACAAAAAUGAGAGGGAGAACCCCUCUAUUUAUAGCCAAACUUUGGCUUCAUUUUCUCCCUUUUCUUCUUUGCAUGGGCGGCACCCACCCAUUUUUUCUUGUUCAAUGAUGGUGGCUAACUUGGCCACCCACCAUCUUUGAAUUCAGAGAUGAUGGCUCAACCACCCAUCAUUUUGGCUUCUUUUUUUAAAAUCAAUUUUCAACAAUCUCUACCAUGAUUAAAAAAAAAAAAUUUCAUAGUCACUACUACAAAACAUUGUCUUCACCAAUAGUUAUAAUUCUCAAUAUAAAGAAUUAUCACACUACACCAUAAUGAGUAUACCACUUAGAAUCAACUAUUCUAAGAUUUUUCUCGGCACAUGUCAAAAUAUCCUGCUGAAAUUUAUAGUGCAAUUCUCAUGCUUGGUUUCAAUGAGAAUUCUUCAGCCAUGACAUAACUUUUCCACCACACACGUUGCAUUUAUACCAAGCCAAUGCCCUCGUGCAAACUUGUGGACCCCACUGAUAAUAACAUGUUCUCUUUCAUGGUAACUUGGAGAUCUACAUGCCAAAAGAACUAAUCCAAUCUCUUAUCAAAAACAAAUUCACCAUCUGCGAGAAAUAUCAGUAUUUCUUUUACUGAUUCUGGAGUAAUUUGUCGAGCCCGCUCCACCUUCUUGACAAUUUUCUUGAGGCGCCAAAAUUGUCCACACCUUCAAAUCUUUGUGCAUACCAGAUUGGAUACACCUUUGACUUGAAUUCUCCACAAGCCAACAAAAAAUCAUUCUCCCAUUAAUUUUUUAACAACAUCAAACUCCACCAAGUUUGAAAAAUACCAGCUACUGACAUAUUUGCUUCAUAAAUGACCCUAUACUCUUCACCACGGACUAUUUAGAUUGGCUCCCACUGCUUCACAUGAACAGUACCGUAUACACGAACAAUAUCAUAUACGUGAAAUAGUAAUGUCUACGUGAACAGUACCCCGACAUCAAAACUUCAAUCAAUGGCUCUGAUACCACUGUUAGGAAAUUGAGUUUCCUUCCAAGAUCACUCCAAGCAAUUUGUCAAGCAACAAAUUAACAAAAAAUUUAAAUGGAGAAUACAACAAUCACACAACACAAGAUUUACGUGGAAAACUCCAAAUCCGGAGAAAAACCACAGCCGUUGUCAAGAGACAACCAGAAAAAAAAUAUUCACUAUGUGGAAAAUUAUUACAACCACACUCUCAUAAAUAAUUUUCUCACCCAAGCCCCAAAUACAUAAUUGCGAGAAAUAUUCCUUAACAAAGCAAACCCGUAAUACCCAUAUUGAGGAGCCAAAUGCUCCUUCAAUAUAAAUACAUGCUUAAGAAUAUUUCUCUCCCAUGUUGGAAGCUCUCAAUGCUUCUCUUACAUAUUCUUGCUUCUCAAAUUUUGGGAUUUCUUCUCUGGGAUACAAAAAUGAGAGGGAGAACCCCUCUAUUUAUAGCCAAACUUUGGCUUCAUUUUCUCCCUUUUCUUCAUUGCAUGGGCGGCACCCACCCAUUUUUUCUUGUUCAAUGAUGGUGGCUAACUUGGCCACCCACCAUCUUUGAAUUCAAAGAUGAUGGCUCAACCACCCAUCAUUUUGACUUCUUUUUUUAAAAUCAAUUUUCAACAAAUAAUAUGUAAGCUUUUGUUAAUUGACUGCACUCGAUCAUUAAAAGUCUUACAAAGCAUGUAAAGUAAAAAAAUGGCACAUCCUCCAUCCGAAAGCAUCUAAAAUAAAAAGAUGGCACAUCCUCCAUCCGAAGUUUUUUACCAUUCGGCUUAAAUAUAUAGUCUCAUUUUUGGUAAUAAGCUCACAACAUGCAUAGGGAAGUUUUUAAUAGAUCUUCAUUCCCGUGGAUGUUGUGAGCUUAUUACCAAAAAUGAGACUAUACAGGUGUGGGACAAACAAAAAGGGAAGUUUUUUUUCCAUUCGGCUAAAUUUUAAUGUCACGCAAAAUAAUAUGUGAUCUUGAAUUCAUUUUAAUAUGAUAUCAACAUACGUAGGAAAUUCGUGAAUCAAGAAAUUUUGCAUGCCAGAGUCAGAGGAACAAUUAAAUAGAAUGCUUUUUAAGACAACAAUCACUGAUGAUCAUGUUUGCACACCAUCGGAGAGUACUGAAUAUCUACUAUCAGUCCUAUCUAAUUGAAAAAUGUACUGGUAGUUCGAUGAGUUUGUUUCCAUAGAAGCUACUAAAUAAAGAAAGGGAAAAAGAGUGGCUACAAAAAGGAGGAAAGUGGGAGGAGCUGUAAGGCUUUCACGGCAAAUUGAUUGCCUUGUUGAUGCUGUGGAAAUGGAGGUCGAACUCAAGAAGCAGAUCAUGGUACUAAUGUUCUUGAAGAUCAAGAGAUGGAGAGAUUGAAAAAUAAUAGUGCUGCAAGUGGAUAAUAUUAUAGUUAUAUAUUUCUUUACACAUGUAUAUAAUAUUAUAUUUCUAUGAAUUACUUUAUUACAAUAGUUUUGCGUACAUAAAAGUUUAUAUAGAGAUUAAAUUUUUGCAUUUUCUUUUUUGCAGUUAAGUUUAUUAAUCAAUUCAAGUAUUUGUGUAUAUUACGGACUACAUAACAAAUUUUUUAGUUAAAUAUAUUAUAGUUAAUUUUUAUUGCAAAUUAAAAUAGUUAAUAAAAAAUUAUUUAAAUAUGUAAUCAAGAAAAUAGAAUACGCUCUUCAAAAAUCCAAUGAAUAAGAAAAAUUAUUUAAAUAAUAAUAUUCUAAAUAAAUUACAAAUAAGUAAAUGAGUACAUUUUUGUCAUUUGCACAUGAACAUUAUACUUUUAAUUUUCACUUACCAGAUUUAUAUAGUAGAUUAUUUAAAAAUUGAUUGUCAAAUAAUCAUCAUUUACCAAACACCCGGCUAAAUUAUUCAUAAAAUUAAUUUUCUGAUAAUCAAGGUAAAAAUUAAUUAUUGGGAAGUAAAAGAAAUUCCAAACAUACCCUCAAUCAAUUAUAAGAGGGUUUUUAAUUAAAGAUACCUUAAAAGUAGGGUAUUUAGUUAAAUAUAUCACAUGCUUGAAAAUUAUCUAGAUAUACCUUUUUAUGUGGUACAUUGUUUAAAAUAUCCUUAAAAAAAUAUAUAAAACACACACAACUCGUCUCUAACACUCUUUACUUCUCACUCUUUUUAACUCCACACAACGAAAACUCACUCCACACUCAAAAUCACUCACGAACAGCUAAUGCAUUGAGAUUUUAAUUUGCAACUGGGUGCAUUAUUCAUCCCAUGAAUAAGGUAUUUGAAAUUUUUUUAUUUUGUGUUAUUUAUUCAUUUAAUUGACAUUAUAUUAUUUUUAGGGUUUUGUUUGGUUUGUGAUAAACACUAAAGCAACUCAUAUUUCAUUACAUUUGCAUCAUAUGACUGUUAUUUGAUGGAUUUUAUAACUACAUUCGUUAAAACCUGAAGUUGUUGCCAAAUUUUUUUUCUGCACCCGACAUACACGACAUCAGUCUUGUAUGUAUGGAUUUACAUAACUGUAGUCGUGCAAAUGUGCAAAAGAUUCCAAUUAUCAUGACACUUUAUCAUUCUAUUGGUGCAAAAAAUAUUUUUUUUUUCACUAUAUAUAUCCUUUUACUAUUACUGGACUAUAGUCGUGUGUGUUAAUAAGUUACACAACUACUAUCGUGUACGUAUGAACUUACAUACUAUAAUUGUGUAUAUAUGUAAAAUGUUCCAAUUGUUAUCAGAUCCCAACAUUUUUUUAAGAAGAAAUAUGUCCUCUGAUUAUUUAUUGAGUCAUAUAUUUUUGCAACUUACACGACUUUUGUCAUGUAUGUAUGAAUUUACACGACAACAAUCGUGCAAGUUUGGAAGAUAUAGUAGCUGUUAUGACACCUACCAUUCGGUUAGUACAAAGAUUACAGUUUUUUUUACUAAAUAUAUCAUCUGACUGUUUAUAGAACUAUAGUUGUGUAUUUUAGCAAGUUACAUAACUAUUGUCGUGUAAACUACCAAUUACACGACGUGAGUCAUGUAAAUAGGCAGACAGAUCCACACUUCGUUAUAUGCAUUGCUUGAUUUUAUUUUUGUAUUUGUUGUAUAAUCAACCGUUGUAUUAUUACAGAAAAUGACUUCAGUACGUGUGCCUAUUAUGUUUUGUGGUGAAUGGAUUGAGCAAAACGGCCAUUAUAGAUUUAAUGAUACAAAGGCAAGAGGGAUCAUAGUGCCAUAUUCUACAACGUAUGCACAAUUGAUAGAAAUAGUAUCUCGGGUUAUUUAAUAGGCAACCAAAUUACCAGAGGCUUAUACAAUAUGGACCGAGUGUUUGGGUUGAAAAUGCAAAAAAAUUAUGAUGAUUGUUAAACAACUUCUAUUGUAUUAUGACUUAUUUACGAUUCAAAUAAGUAUUGGAUUUAUGUUGUUUGAUAGGCAACCAGACUACAGUUAGUUUCAUUUAUUUGAAAUUUAAUAUGUUAAAGUUUAUAUUGAUUGUGUCAUCAAUAUAAUGAAUGUUUUAGUUGAUUUUUUAUUCUGUGUCCACAUACCCGAGUACAAUCGUGUAUUUUGGCUGUUACAGAACUGGUCAUGUUUAUUUACAAAUACUCGACUGCAGUCGUGUAUCUGUGCAAAUACCUGACUGCAGUCGUGUAUUUUCCUAUAGAGAGCUAGUCAUAUUUAUUUGUAAAUACUCGACUGUAGUCGUGUAUCUGUGCAAAUACCCAACUACAGUCGAGUAUUUUCUUACAGAGAGCUGGUCAAAUAUAAUUAUAAAUACUCGAUUGCAGUCGUGUAUCUGUGUAAAUACCCGAAUGCAGUCGAGUAUUUUCUUAUAGAGAGCUGGUUAUGUACAAUUGUAAAUACUUGACUGUAGUCGUGUAUCUGUGUAAAUACCCAAUUGCAGUCGAGUAUUUUCUUACUGAGAGCUAGUCAUGUAUAUUUGUAAAUACUCGACUGCAGUCAUGUAUCCGUGCAAAUAGCUAAUUGCAGUCGUGUAUUUUCUUACAGAGUAUUCCCUGACCAUAUAUGGCAAUCCUGUUACAUCACAUAGAUUGUACAAACUAUCUUCACUAUCAUUAAUAUAGUUAACAAAGAAAUAAAACAUAUUAAUGAUGUCAAGUUAUCUUUAAUGACAUCAAAUAUCAACAACAUCCUCAUUAUAACUAUCACAUCUCAUGGUCCAAAAAUGACACACCAAUAAAGUUUUUAAGGGUAGUACACUACAAAGUUUUUUUCCAUGACCUAUGCCCAAAUAAUUUGACAACCAAGGCUUUUCGAAAUUGUAUAACAUGAUCUUGUUUGCAAUAUGAAUUGACAUCAAGUCCAUGGGUUAGGACCUCCAAGUACCGCAACAAAUUCUCCACAAUCACCACUAAAAAAAGUAAAAUAAAUCAAUUGUUAAAAAUCAGCAUUCUUAUUAUUAUGUUCAAAACACAUUAUAUAUAUAGUACAUACCCUAAUUUUUGUUGCGGGAUGUCACACACUCGCACGAUGGGCCAAGGAAUUUUCGAUGUAACCUCAAUAUAGUCUGGAUGUGUUUCGUGAUACGCUAUCUUUUGAAGUACUAGAGGUAUCAUGUCUGCAACAGGCAGCAAUUGUCUCACUAAAACUUAAGUCUAUCAUGGAGUCAUAAAUAGAAAUCUUGCCACAAGAAAUUUAUAAUGCUUGCAGUAAUCAAAUGGCCUCAUAAAUAGAAAUCUUGCCACAAGAAUCCUUUGUUAAGUCUAUCAUGGAGUCAUUAAUUCAAUUAGAUUAAUCUCAGCAACAAGAAAUUUAUAAUGCUUGCAGUAAUCAAAUGGCCUCACAAUUCUAAACUAACUCUCCAUCCAUCAUUAAUCCUCUUGCUUCUUGAGCAAUUAAUGAAAAAUUAAAUUUAUCCACCCACUAUUUCCACUUCUAAGUAAAUAUAAUGUCAAUAGUCCAAAAUUAAAUUAUCUCGUACAAGUUUCCUAAAUAACAUCUUUCAAUAGUUGAAAAUAAGAAAUUAGAUAUAUGUAAUGCAUGUUUUUUUUUUUCAUUAAAACUAUAACCCAUAUCUCCACAUAAGCACAACUCCAAUACUUGAGCCUUUGUACCAAAUUUCCAGGUAAUUCAAGAUAGAUUCUAAUGUUACUAACAAAUCACACAAAUUAGCAAAGCAUAUAUUCGAUAAAAUCAUACUCAACAAGGUGUAACUGUCAAGUUUUUGAGUGGUAACUCACCUUUCAUUCGCCCAAUUUCAAUUCAAGGCAACAAAUUUAUGGGCUGGAACAAACGGCAACAGAGACAUAAAGUAACAGCAGCAAAGCGUCAUUGGCGUUAAUCUCAUCUAAUGGCGCAUCAGAGGGAUAGCAAUCGAGCCUGGCAAACAACUCUUCACUCUUUUUUGCUUGCUUGGAUUGGAUUCAAUCUUGAGGAAGGUUUGAAUUUGGCAAAAAUGGGUGUUGUGCACGCUAGUCGUGAGAGAGAAUUAGGGAUUGUGUUUUGUGACUGAUUGUGCAGGGUAAUUUGAAUGAUUUAGGUUUUUAAUUAGAGCAAUUUCGUAGCUGCACAUUAAAAAAGGUAUAUAUGGGGAAUUUUAGAGUAUGGGGGUGUUCUUAGAUAAAUACAUUUUUUUGGGGUAUGCCACGGAUAAAUCCCUGACUAUAAGAAGUUAUUUAAGUUGUACUAUUUAAUGGGUUUUAUUAAUAGUGAGCGCGUUUAUCAAAUAUAUAAAAAUAAAUAUUUUAGUUAUUAUCCACCUAUUCUCUUGAAAUCAUUCUCAAAAAUUUUUCGUUUACCUAAAAUUCCAAGUAAAAUAGAUAAAAGAAGAAGAGUUGGGGUAAAAACAAAUGGAAGGAAAAACAGGGCUCCCUGUUUUCAAAUUAUCUAUAAGUUACGAAAGGAGAAUGGUUCAGAUUAUCUUGAGCUCUGCGGUCAAACCGUCCAUCAGGCGGAUUCAGAUUUUGAAUUAUCUGUCAUAAUUUGGUUUCCCACUUAAGCAUGCUUAUCAUUGGUUUGAUAUUUGCUUUUUAAGACGACAAUCACUGAUGAUCAUGUUUGCACACCAUCUGAGAGUACUGAAUAUCUACUAUCAGUCCUAUCUAAUUGAAAAAUGUACCGGUAGUUCGAUGAGUUUGUUUCCUUAGAAGCUACUAAAUAAAGAAAGGGAAAAAGAGUGGCUACAAAAAGGACGAAAGUGGGAGGAGCUGUAACUGUAAGGCUUUCACGGCAUAUUGAUUGCCUUGUUGAUGCUGUGGAAAUGGAGGUCGAACUCAAGAUGCAGAUCAUGGUACUAAUGUUCUUGAAGAUCAAGAGAUGGAGAGAUUGAAAAAUAAUAGUGCUGCAAGUGGAUAAUAUUAUAGUUAUAUAUUUCUUUACACAUGUAUAUAAUAUUAUAUUUCUAUGAAUUACUUUAUUACAAUAGUUUUGUGUACAUAAAAGUUUAUAUAAAGAUUAAAUUUUUGCAUUUUCUUUUUUGCAGUUAAGUUUAUUAAUCAAUUCAAGUAUUUGUGUAUAUUACGGACUACAUAACAAAUUUUUUAGUUAAAUAUAAUAUAGUUAAUUUUUAUUGCAGAUUAAAAUAGUUAAUAAAAAAGUUAUUUAAAUGUGUAAUCAAGAAAAUAGAAUAUGCUCUUAAAAAAUCCAAUGAAUAAGAAAAAUUAUUUAAAUAAUAAUAUUCUAAAUAAAUUACAAAUAAGUAAAUGAGUACAUUUUUGUCAUUUGCACAUGAACAUUAUACUUUUAAUUUUCACUUACCAGAUUUAUAUAGUAGAUUAUUAAAAACUGAUUGUCAAAUAAUCAUCAUUUACCAAACACCCGACUAAAUUAUUCAUAAUAUUAAUUUUCUGAUAAUCAAGGUAAAAAUUAAUUCUUGGGAAGUAAAAGAAAUUCCAAACAUACCCUCAAUCAACUACAAGAAGUUAUUUAAGUUGUAGUAUUUAAUGGGUUUUAUAAAUAGUGAGCGUGCUUAUCAAAUAUAUAAAAAUAAAUAUUUUAGUUAUUACCCACCUAUUCUCUUGAAAUCAUUCUCAAAGUUUUUUCGUUUACCUAAAAUUCCAAGGAAAAUAUAUAAAGGAAGAAGAGUUGGGUUAAAAAAAAAAAAAUGAAGGAAAAACAGGCCUCCUCUGUUUUCAUUCCCCUGUUUUGAAAUUAUCUAUCAGUUACGAAAGGAGAGUGGUUCAGAUUAUCUUGAGCUCUGCGGUCAAACCCGUCCAUCAGGCGGAUUCAGAUUUUGAAUUAUCUGUCAUAAUUGGUUUCCCACUUAAGAAUGCUUAUCAUUGGUUUAAUAUAUUGCUGUUCCACUUGUUUAAUGAAUGGAUUCCCACCUACGCGUUUGCUUAUUAAAAGAAUAAAUCUUGCUUUUGCUUUUCUAGAGAAAUAAUGCAAUAUGCAAUUAUGCGUGAUGGUGCGCGUCCAUGUGAGAAAGUUGACGAAAGCUUCUUUUUCAGUAUUGCAAGUGCUAUCCACAGCGGAACUCCACAAUCGAAACCAUCAUUACGACAAUUUUUCUCUGUCGUUUCAAUUUUUAAUUGAAUAUAAAACAAGUAAGGUCAAAUAAAGUCUGGUCCACCAAUUUAAUCAGUAUGAACGUAUGGAUCCCAUCAUUAAUAUUAUAAAUAUGUGGGUCCUUUAAUUAUUACAUUAUAUGAUUAUUGUAUUAUUUAUAGAUUGCUUUAAUCAUGACAUAUUACGAAAGGAGAUUCCCCUUGGAAAAAAAAUAAAAAAGAGAUUCCCUCUUCGGCGACUGAAAAUAAAAGAAAUUAAGGGCUGCAUGAUUGAGUCUUCUUCUUUUGCAAAUCAUUAUCAUUACUCUCAUAAGCUCUCUAUAAUUACAUUCCUCUGCAGGUAACAUUAACUUUUUGCUCAUUAAAAUUGCACUUAAAUACUCAAGGCGAUUACAGAAGCUCAUCAACUUUCCAUAAUUAAACAGGAUUUCCACAACCUUCAAUUAAUUUCUUUUAAUAACAUAAUCUCUGAUGCUUGAUCUCUAUACAAUUUCUUUCUUAAUUUCCAUCCACUUUCCAAGAUAAAAUUUCUAUGGCUUGUUCAUUUAUCAUUUUUUUUUUGGGACACUUGAAGCACGUUUCUGUUAAUAGCAAAAACUCUGAUCCUUAAGAAAGAAGAAAAAAUGCUCUGUUCAUGUUUCAGUUGAUUCAAGAUCAAUUUUGCGAUACUGUUUGCCGUCUUUUUUUCUCUCUCUAGUUUAUUUUAAUUUAUUUGUAUUCCUUUCCCCUUUCUUUGACAUAUUAUUAGAUUUGUUAAGCAGCAGGCAAUGGCAGAAGUGGGUCUGGCUGCUUUUUCCAGCAUUGUAUCAGAAGGUUCAAAGUCACUGUUCAAACUGAUUAUACGGCAGAUAUCUUAUGUGUUCAAGCACCAGAGCUACAUAGAUGGCCUGAAAGAUCAAGUGAAGCAGCUGGGAUAUAGAAGAGAAACGGUGCAACAACCUGUUAAUCAUGCUAGACUACAAGGGGAUGAGAUUUAUGAGGGUGUCACAGACUGGCUAAAUAAAGUUGAUGAAUUCAUCAGUGAAGGGGUUGCAAAAUCCAUCAUUGAUGAUGAAGAUAGAGCUAAGAAGUCCUGCUUCAAAGGGUUGUGCCCCAACUUGAUUUCUCGUUACCAGCUUAGUAAACAAGCAGCAAAGGCCGCAGAAGCUGCCGCUAGUCUCGAGGGAAAAGGCACCUUCUCUAGUGUUUCCUACCGUCCUGCUCCAAAGAGUACAGAAUAUAUGCCAGUGAAAGAUUACGAGGCCUUCGAUUCAAGAACGAAAGUAUUUCAAGAUGUUGUGGAUGCGUUGAAGGAUGAUAGUUUCAAAAUAAUUGGGGUCUAUGGGAUGGGCGGCGUGGGUAAAACCACGCUAGUUAAGCAAGUUAGAAAGCAAGUGAUGGAAGAUAAGUUGUUCGAUAAGGUCGUUAUGGCUGAGGUAACACAGACACCAGAUCAUCAUAAAAUUCAAGACAAACUUGCUUUUGAUUUAGGCAUGGAAUUUGACUUGAAUGAGAAUGAAUUUCAAAGAGCUUCUCGACUGUGUCAAAGGUUGAAGCAAGAGAAGCGGCUCCUCAUUAUACUGGAUAAUAUUUGGACAAAACUUGAGUUCGAUAAAGUUGGAAUUCCUUAUGGGGAUGUUGAUGAGAAAGAUAGAGAGGACGAUCGGAGUAGACGCACAAUAAUAUUGACGUCUCGAAGUCGAGAUUUAUUGUGCAAUGAUAUGAAUUCUCAGAAAAAUUUCUGGAUCGAUGCUUUAUCCAAAGAUGAAGCAUUGCAGUUAUUUGAGAAGAUUGUGGGUGAUUCAAAAAAAACAUAUGAUUUUCAACCCACUGCAGAUGAGAUCGUUGAAAAAUGCGGGGGAUUGCCUGUUGCACUGAGAACAGUUGCAAGUGCUCUGAAAAAUAAGAGUCUUGCCAGUUGGAAGGAUGCAUUGAAUCAGCUAAGAAGUUCCAAUCUAAGAGAAAUUCGUGGUAUGGAUGCAGAUGUGUAUUCUUCCAUAAAAUUGAGUUACGAUUUCUUGGAAAGUGAUGAAGCAAAAUCUUUGUUCCUUCUUUGUACUCUGUUUGGUGAAGGUCAUCCUAUAUACGUACAUUACUUAUUGAGAUAUGGUAUGGGUUUGGGUCUAUUUAGAAAUGUUUACACAUUGGAAGCAGCAAGGAAUAGAGUGGAUGCAUUGAUCGACAGUCUAAAAGCUUCAUGCUUAUUGUUGGACGGUGAUGCUGAAGAUGAAGCUAAAAUGCAUGACGUCAUUCAUGUUGUUGCUGUAUCAAUUGCCGCAGAGAAGCUUAUGUUUAAUAUUCCAAAUGUUGCUGACUUUGAGAGAGAGAUGGAAGAGACAAUACGGAAAGGUCCAAUCGCUAUUUCCUUACCUUAUAGAGAUAUUCAAGAGCUCCCUGAGAGGUUGGAAUGUCCCCAACUCAAGUUAUUUUUUUUGUUUGCAAAGCAUGAUAGCUCUUUGCAAAUUUCACACCUCUUUUUUGAAGGGGCAGAAGAACUCAAAGUUUUAGACUUUACUGGAAUAUUUUUCUCUUCAUUACCUUCAUCACUUGGUUGCCUCAUUAACGUUCAAACAUUAUGUUUAGAUGGUUGCCGACUGAACGAUAUAGCAAUAGUUGGACAGCUAAAGAAAUUAGAGAUUCUCAGCUUUCGAGAUUCUGAUGUUAAGGAGUUGCCACUUGUAAUUGGACAAUUGACGAGAUUACAGUUGCUAGAUUUGAGAAAUUGUAGCAGCCUUGUGGUGAUAGCUCCAAAUGUCAUAUCAAAAUUAUCUCGAUUAGAAGAACUAUACAUUGGUAACAGCUUUUCACAAUGGGAGAAGGUUGAAGGAGGAAGUAACGCCAGUCUUGCUGAAUUGAAUGGGUUGUCAAAGCUAACUACUUUGGAGAUACACGUUCGGGAUGCCGAAAUUCUACCGCAGGAUUUGGUCUCUGUGGAAUUGCAAAGCUAUAGGAUAUGUAUAGGAAAUGAGUGGUGGAGCAGCCGGUCCGUUAAAUCUGGAUUAUCAAGAUUGAUGAAGCUCCAGGGGCUAGAAAAGUUUGGCAUUCUUUUGCAGAAUUACAGGAUGAAACUGUUGUUGGAGAGAACUGAAUAUCUCUAUCUAAAAGAACUGAAGGGUGUUCAGAAUGUUGUUCAUGAAUUAGAUGAUGGGGAAGGUUUUCCACGAUUGAAGCAUCUUCACGUAGAAAGUUGUUCUGAGAUUUUACACAUUGUCGGUUCAGUUGGACGGGUUCGUCGCAAAGUCUUCCCCUUGCUGGAGUCAUUGUCUCUUUGGUGUUUGAGCAAGUUGGAGACAAUAUGUGACAGCCAACUCACAGAAGAUCAAUCUUUCAGCAACUUAAGGAUUAUAAUAGUACGCGGCUGUGACAAAUUGAAGCAUCUUUUCUCAUUCUCCAUGGCCAAAAACCUACUGCGGCUUCAAAAGGUAGAAGUGUUAUUUGGCGGUGAUCUGGAAAUGAUUGUUGGUAAGUGUUGAAAUUAAGUACUGGUGGGAUUAUGGACUUCACCUCAAUUAUUUUGAAAAAAAAAAACGACAAAGAUUAAUUAUGUAUAUUGUUUUUGUUUGUUUAUAGGACCCGACAGGGAGAAACCAACAACUUCUUUGGGAUUCAACGAAAUCAUUGCUGAUGAUGAUACCGCUCCAAAGGUGAUAAUUUUCUGUACAAUAAUUAAUUGAUUAAUUUAUUAUCACGAUUAAUCUUCGAUCAUCAAAAGAAUAUUAUACUAGACGGUUGUACUUGAAGGAACAAAAAUGUACGGGUUUUCUUUGCAGGUUAUUCUUCCGAGCUUAGAGGAAUUGAAUCUCACGCUAUUAAGAAACAUGAAAAAAUUAUGGGCCGAUCAUAAUCAAGGAAUGUACUGUUGUCAAAAUUUAACAAAGGUGAUCGUGAGCAGUUGUGAUCGUAUGAAGUAUCUGUUUUCGUAUUCUAUGGUUAAUAGUCUUUUGCUACUCCAACAUCUUGAGAUAAGAGCUUGUAAGUCAAUGGAAGGGGUAGUCGACACCACGGGGUGGUCAGAAAGAGAUGAAGGACAUAUUCAUUUCCCUAAACUACACUCCCUCGAGCUCCAUUGUCUUCCAGAACUAACAAGCUUCGCCAAUACGGGACAUAUUCAUUCAGAUUUAGUUGUUGAAUUCCCUUCUUUGCUAGAACUCCGGAUUAGUGGUUGCAGUAAUAUGUUAAGAUUCAUCUCUACGAGCUCACCAGAAGACACCAUUCAUUCUGAAAUGCAACCUCCUCCUCUUUUUGACGAAAAGGUUUUUUUUUUUAAUAAAAAAAUUAAUUUUAGUCACAAUACUUAAUUUUUCUUUUCCUUGAGUCUUCAAAUUUAGUUAAUAUCCACCUCUAAUUUAGUUAUCAAUUGAUUAUGCCAUUAAUUGAUUAAUUAGUUAUUUAAUCUUUAACUGCCAGGUACGACUUCCUAGGGUGGAGGUAUUACUUAUGGAGAUGAUGGAUAAUUUGAGAAGAAUAUGGCACCACCAGCUUGCUUCGGAGUCUUUCAGCAAAUUGAAGAAUUUGGACAUAUGGUGGUGUGAUAACCUAAGAAAUAUUUUUCCUCCAUUGGUAAGGUUGCUGUAUUCAUUUCGAAUCUUUUUUCCCAGAUAAAAUUCAACCAUUUUUUAACCAUUUUUGUGUUUACAAAUGGUAUUCAGCCACUAAUUAUUUAUUUCAAGUAUUGUACUUCAAAUUAACCACCACUCUGAAAUCUACGUUUUAAGUCCGGUUUUCAAUUUAAUUGUUUUUGCUCAUAUCUUAAAAGUACGAUUUUCAAAAAUUAAAGGAUCGUCUCUCAUCUUAUAGGUUCACAAAUUCAUCUAUAUAUUUCUCUUUUCCUUAAUUCUUCACGUUUCGAUUGGAAAAAAAAAUAAAAGUCUUCAAAUUUAAUUAAUAUCUCUAGUUUAGUUACGAAUUGAUUAUGCCAUUAAUUAACCACAAAUUCAUGAUUAUUUACAACUGACCCUUGAUUGUAAAGAAAUUUCCUCGAGUCUGGAAGUACUUAAUAAAGAUCCACUUUACAGCAGUCCCUUGUUGACAGUAUUGGGAAAUCUUUUCCAAUUUUUUUUUCCAUUUUUAAAUAUACAUUAAAAAAAGGAACCAAGGAAAAGGGAAAAAUGGUUGAGUUUUUUUUUUUUUUUUUAAAAAAAAGGAAUAGUUGAAAUUUGCAAAUUUAUGCUUAAAAACUGAUAUCAAGAUGCAAAAGAAGUCUAAAAUAUUUAGAAAUUGCCUUAAAUUCUUUCUACGUUUCUAAUACUAAAUAGUGUAAAUGCAUUUUUAUUAUCUUUGUUUAUCUGGGUUUUAUUUAUUUAUUUAUCUUGUUCUAUUUUUGUUUAACAAAAAAUAUCUAGUAGACAUUUCAUAAUUUGUUAUGUUCAUAAAAUGUAUAAUUGUAUGAUUAAACAUACUUUGAACCUAGUUGAAUGAUAUUCUUACAUUUUUACUUUUUUAAUACACCACACAUGCACACACUUUUGCUUAUUUUCAGGUUGGAAUUCCUAGUAGUCUGGUGAAUCUUAAAGUAUCGGGUUGCCCAAAAUUAGAAGAAAUCGUAGGACAUGCUGGAGAAGAAGUGAAGGAGAAUCGUAUUGCUUUCAGCAAAUUAAAAGUUUUGAUACUUGAUGAUUUACCAACGCUUACCAGCUUUUGUUUGGAGAAUUACACUCUUGAAUUCCCAUCACUGGAACGAGUUUCUAUGACACAUUGUCCGAACAUGAAGAAUUUUUCUGACGGAAUCUUAUCCAUUCCAAAGCCAUGCAAAGUACAAGUGACUGAAAAGGAAGAGGGUGAACUGCACCAUUGGGAAGGCAAUAACCUUAAUUCCACUAUACAAAAGUGUUAUGAUGAAAUGGUAUGUGUUAAUCGAUUCACCCAAAUUGUUCAUGCAUCUCCCCUGCACUUGCACAUUUAAGCAUAUACACCUCCCUUGUAUAUAUAUUUUUAGAAGUUAAAACACAAAACAUGUAAGUUUAAUGUGUAUAUAUAUAAUGCCUUUCAAAAACAAAAUUGUAUAUAUCUGGUGCAAUUGUUUUGGUUUGUGCAGAUUGGAUUCCUUGAUAUAAACCGUUUGCAACUCUCGCAUUUUCCACGCUUGCAAGAAAUAUGGCAUGGCCAAGCACUGCCUGUCAGCUUCUUCAACAAUUUAGCAGAGCUGGUGGUGGAUGACGGCACGAAUAUGUCGAGUGCUAUUCCUGCCAAUCUGCUACGGUGCUUGAACAAUUUGGAAUGGCUGGCAGUGAGGAAUUGUGAUUCACUAGAAGAGGUGCUUCAUUUGGAAGAGCUAAGUGCUAAGGAAGAACAUAUAGGCCCCCUGUUUCCUAGGCUUUUAAGCCUAAAGCUCAUUGAUCUUCCAAAACUCAAAAGAUUCUGCAACUUCACUGGGAAUAUAAUUGAACUGCCUAAGUUGGAAUAUCUAAUUAUUGAGAAUUGCCCUGAUAUGGAAACAUUCACAUCCAAUUCUACAUUUGUACUGCACAUGACAGCAGAUAAUAAGGAACCUCAAAAAUUAAAAUCAGAAGAGAACCUCUUGGUAGCUAAUCAAAUACAAUAUCUCUUCGAUGAAAAGGUAAUCAUUAUUAUUAUUUUCCCUUCACUUUCGUUCGCACAUAUGUAAUUUCAUUAUAAUCAAAUCAAAUUUAAUGACUCAUCUUUUUGCACGUCGUCUUAAUUUAUAUCUGAUUUAACAAUAUAACCGCAGUUAUUAACUAACUUUAUAGUAUGAAUUAUAAAAAUGUCUGAAAUUAAUUGGAUGCCUGGUAACACGAGGUGAUGAACUAUACUAAUUAUGUGUGUAACAUCUCUGUUUUCCUAGCUAAUUCAUAUUGGAUUUAGCAUCAGAUUUCAUUUAUGUAUUUCAAAGGGUAAUCGAUUUGAUACUGAUAUUUGGGAUCCUACUGCAAAGCAUACUAAUAUGGAAAUAAAAUAUAAAAUGUCGUGAUUAAUCUUGUCCGUAAAAUAUGCAGGGGAAGACUGCAGAGAUUGGAUACAUAUUUUCAUUUACAACUUAAUUUUGUUGAUUUUCAGGUUGCAUUCCCUAAAUUGAGGAAGUUAAGGCUGUCUAGAUUACACAAAGUGCAGCAUCUCUGGAAGGAAAAUGCCGAAUCCAACAAAGUAUUUGCAAAUUUGGAAAGUCUAAAAAUAUCGGAAUGUAGUAAGUUGCAAAAAUUAGUACCACCUUCGUGGCAUUUGGAAAAUCUUGAGGCUUUGAAAGUAUCGAAGUGUCACAGGUUGAUAAAUGUGUUGACGCUCUCAGCAUCUAAAAAUCUAGUGAAUCUCGGAAGAAUGAAGAUAGUUGAUUGCAAAAUGAUGGAAGAAAUUAUACAGUCGCAGGUUGGAGAAGAAACGGAAGAUUGCAUUGUUUUUGGGAAAUUGAGGUACUUGGAACUUGACUGUUUGCCAAGCCUAACAAGCUUUUGUUUAGGUAAUUACGCUCUUGAAUUCCCGUCCUUGAAACAAGUAGUUGUGAGACAGUGUCCAAAAAUGAAGAUCUUCUCUCAAGGAGUCUUAGACACACCAAUGCUAAACAAAGUGAACGUCACCGAAGAAGAAAAAGAUGAUGAUGAAGAAGAUGAUGAUGAUGAAGGAUGUUGGGAAGGCAACCUCAAUGACACCAUAAAAAAAUUGUUCAAUGAAAUGGUGAGUAUCAAUUAAGUUUUGGUGCUAUUUAGCAAAUUAUUUUAUAGAAACUAAUGUGAUAUAAUAUGAUUGGUUGACUGAAAAUAUAUAAUAAUAAUAAUAAUAAUAAAUAAAUAAAUAAAUUAUGAGGGCCAUGUAAUGUUUUUAUUUAACCAAUCAUAUUAUCUCGCAUUAGUUUAUACAAUAUUGUUUGUGCACAAGAGGUGGUGGUCCUAUCAUUACUCUAGCUUUAUUAUUCUUAUGGUGGCAAUGUAUGCUUGCUUACACGAGUAAUUACAAAAUGUGCAGAAUUCUAAAGAAGAUAUUGAGCCAACCCUUCAGGUACAGUGAAGAAGCUAUCUCGAACCAGGCCAAUCUCUUAUACAUGAUUUAGCUUGCUCGUUCUUCUGUACUUGAAUAAUUUGGUUCUACAUAUUUACAAUUUUUUGCUCAUGCUACAGACGUGCAAGACACUUUGGAUUUUGUUUGAUGCAUUCUCCGUUUAAAGAAAGGACUUGAAUUGAUUUUUCAUGUUUCAUGCAAUAUUCGAUUAGAUUCUGCCUAAAUUUCUGUAUUAUUCUCUUUUAAGCAUUUAAUUUCUAACCUCUCCUGAUAGAAGAUCCUUAGCCUAAGAAAACAGCAUAACAUUUGUGAAAAAGAAUUAAUUAUCUCACACCAGAUUAGAAAAAGAAAACAGCAUAACAUUCGAUUAGAUAGUAAAAUUAUCUCGACCACUGUUAAAAAGAAUUAAUCAGUCGAAUCUCACACCAGCACGCUUUAAAUUAAAAGAAUUUCGUGAAGUCAAGACCAUGUUAUAGAUCUCAUGGAAAGAAGUAAACCCGUAAUCUUUUUCACAGCAUCAUAAGAAAAAUCGUUUUUUUUAAGUAUUUUUGUUAGCUGUCGAGUUUUAAUAGUAGUAGCUAUUAAACAAUAACAAUUAGUGUAUAUUAAAAAGUUGGAAACUGGUUGAUACCACUCGGGAAUCGAGCAGUUCACUUGUUUGCGAGUAGAAACCAACUUUACUACUAAUUACACUCCAAAAAUCACUAUUCUUCAUUUUUUAAUGCAAAAUUCCCAUUCGAAAACACCAAUGACUUUCAUUCAAAGUAAAUGAGAAAUUACAAUGAAAAUAGAAUCAAAAUACAUGUAUGUAUACCUAAAACAAAUGAUUUUUUUAAUUAAAAAAAAAACACAGUUGAGGUGAAAUGAAACCAGAGUCAUGAUAUCUCUGGUUCCAACUUUGGGACAACAGCAGACUUGAGUUCUAUAUGAGAAACACGUACAGCACCAAUCAGCCGCUCCGGUAAUUCAUCUGUAGUAUUUGCCUGCAUACAGAAGAGUAAGAUAAAGAAGACACACACGAAGCAUUAUACCAUUCUGAGAACAUUCAAGUAUGCAAAAAUGCAAAUUGCAGUGCAAUAUCUCAAAAUCAUGUCUUUUCCCUUGUGUCCAUUUAGAAGUGGGGGAAAAAAACAAUCAUACAUACCUGUACAAGGAAAGCCAUGUCAACCACCAAUGUCGUAACUACACCAAUUACAAGGCCCAAAACUCCAUUAGCAACAGUAGAAGAACCGAUGUCAACAUUAAUCUACAGAAAGAUGAACAAUGUUAAACCAUGUUAAUGGUAUCGGAUGCUAUUUGAAAGAUGAACAUCUCAUGUACUAUAGAAAUUCCAAGAGCAUUUACUUCUAAGUACUUGGGACCGCGAAUAUAGUUACAAUCAACUGCUUUACCCAAUAAGCAAAGGGUGCUUCCAACACUCUGGCGCACGAUCCAUGACCCCUGCAUGAUUCAGUGCUUAAAAUCAAGAACAAGUGCAAAACAAAUUCAAGAGGGUAAAAAUGGACAUGAAGUUUGAAGGUACAACCCAUCAAUACAUUUACACCUAAAUGCAUGCCUUCUUUGGACAAAUUGAAGUGUACCAUGCAGUAAAGGGUUAGUAUACGUUAAUAUAGUCCUAAUACAUGAAGGCCAAGAUGGAUACCUUAGGAACAGAUGGAAUAAGUUUCAACCUGCUAUUGCGAAACUCAUCAUCGCCAUCAACAAACCGUUGCAAAAGUGAUCCCAUAACCAAUUGCCUUGCGACUAAAUAAAAUACCAUACUAUAAUGUGUUGAUCCAGGAACCUGCAGAUGCUUAGGUUACAACUAUACAACCUCCCAAUACAAUAAGUUUGAAACUUAAUACCUUCUGAAAUGAAACAAACUUACUUGAAGAUUAAAGAUCAGUGAGAAAAGCCCAUUUUCGGAAGCAACCUACAUUUUUUAGAAGAGGGUUAGUGUGUUAUAGAUUCAAUGAACCAUGAGAAGUUAUUUACAUUGUAGUAUCUCACAGGCAGUAUUUUCUCCUAAUGCAUCAAUGGAAAAGGAAAAAUAAAAAGAAAAGAAUAGUUACUUGUGCAGCACAGCCUUGACGCCUAGCUACAUGGUCCAUUCUCUUUGUGUCUUUGAACCAAUCAACAGCAACAAGAUCCAUUAAAUGUUUUCCCGCAGGUAUCUGCAGUUACAAAUUGCACAAAGCACAAGAAGAGCCAACCAAACUACAUCAUAACCUGUCUACCUAGCCUAUGCAGGAUAUAUAAAUACCAUAACAAACAAACAAAAUAUGGGGGAACCUUUGUUUUGUCAUAACAAAAAUGCUUGCUACGAACUCUAAAGUUAUUUCCAUCAGAAAGUUUCCAGCAGUCACGAGCAUUAUCACAGUCAUCGUGUCGUAGAUUGCCCGAAAAACAAGACAAAUCAAUUUGAUCAGCCUGCUCUUCCUCUAGGGCUGCAACUAAUUGAAAUUUUUUUUUUUAAAAAAAAAAGAUCAAUACCAUAAAAAUCCACUAGCCAAAUAUACAAAAAUGAAUACUUAUCAUCCACCUGUCCUCUUGAAAUCAUUCUCAAUCUUUUUUUCAUUUGCCUGAAAUCCCAAGGAAAAAUAUGUAACUAAUACUUCCCAUUCAUGAAUAUUGUCUAUCGUAUAAACAUGACAUUUUUAAUUGGAAUAAUAAAAUUAUUUAAUUAUUUUAAUUAAAUGUUAAUCCUACAAAUUAUUUUUGUUAAAUCUAGCAAGAAUAACUAAAAUUUCUUUAAGAUAUAUUUUGGUGGUAAAUUAAAAAAAAUUUAAUUAUUUGGCGGGAAUUAUUGAAAUUGGAGCCAUUUUUUUUUGUGGGAAUUGAAAUAUAUUCUUUAAAUUAUUACAUAAAUAGCAAAAUGUACAUACACACACAUAUAUAUAAUUCAUAUAUAAAAAUUCUCUAAUUUGUUCACAAGUACCAUAGAUUAUAAUUCAGUUAUGAAAUAAAAUAACUACAAUUAUUAUAGUUAAAUGAAUACUUCAUUAAUUCUUAAUUUGCAUCCUAACAUUAAAUGAACAACUUGAGUCAGCCACCUGAAUUAACCAGUAACAACGCCUGAGUCAACCAUCUGAAUAAACCAGCAACCCUAGCUGAUUCCAGCACCUGCAAUUAACGUCAGCACAACAGGAACAAUCUUAAAUCAACACCAAGAACAGACCAAACUGCUGUCAAAUGUCACAAAACCAAACAGUCUGCUACUGCCAUCAAAUGCAAGCAAACAUAUGCAACAAAACCAGAUGCAAGUGAAAUUCUGGAGAAUAUCGGAUAAACCAAACCAAAUGCCACACUUCUAGUAAUUAGACUAGAUGCAGUGUUCAAUUAAACUAAAUGUAGUCUCAUAUUACAUUCAAAAUUUCUAAAAGAAGCAGUGUUCCAUCAGAGAAGCACCAAAACCAAACCAAUCUAAUCCAGCAUAAUUACCAGCUCAACCCAAAACAAUUACACAUUAUAUUGACAUAUCAAAAUUCGCUAUCAAAACAUAGCCAAAUAAAUGAAAAUAAACUCAAAACAGACCCAAACCAACUGAUGUUGCAGCCCUAGUAGUCGUUGUCCGUUCCACUGCCAUGGGAGCGAGGGUAGGCUCCGUUGUCGAUGAGUGAGUAAGAUAAGGCUCCAAAUAAAUAGUUCCACCUCCUUUCUGCAAUUCAAAAAACAGAAAUUCAUAUAUGUAAAACUAUUAAAAAUUGUGAAACAACCUGUAAGUAUUCAACUUCUGUCAACUCAAUAGCACUUACUAAAGUUUUUAUACAGAAGAAAAAGGCAUUUUAAGUCCAAAAAAUUAGAAUUAUUGGUUGAACUCCAACUCCAUCAAUCCAUGCAACCAUCCAAUCUUUAACGAAAAAAUGAAGCAUAAUUAACCAGACAUCUGAAUCAGAAAGAUUGUGCUUUCAUUUGGCACGAGGUGUUGGAAACAACUUAACAAAUCUAGACACAAUCUAUAACCAUCAAGUCCAAACAAAAGUCAGGAUCUAAAAUACUUUGAAAAAUCAGAAAAGCAGUUUCAAUUUCUUUUUCAUCCAUUGUAAGCUCAAACUAAAGGUAGCCGCGCUACCUUUAAACAUCAUUUGGGCUUAUACAUGCGACAUUUGCUCAUGAACAACUAAAGUUGAAUAAGAUUUUUAUAUGAAACAGAAUAUAAAAAGUCAAAGUAGAAUAUGACAGGAGCUACAAUAUAUUAUUCAGCAUCAGCAUUAUGUAUAAAAUAAAUUUAGAGGCAUUAUAUUCAUUCACAAUCUUGCAGAGGUAACACCAGAUUAUGGCACGCAUCUCUUGAAUAGCAGAUAAAGGAGGAGAUGCAGUGGGAAGGUAGUAACUUGCUUGCAUGAGAACUAGAAAGUAAUAUCCCAAGAUCAAUUAUAGAUCUCAUAAAACAAAAACAGUGAGGCAAACACAAUUAUACAAUCCAUCUGUCAAAAGGCUAAGCAUAUGAAUAUACAAUCAACACCAUUCUUCCAAACGAAUAUAAAGUCAACACCAUUCUUCUAAACACAAACAAAGUUUGAACGUAUGACAGAUUUUUAGCUAUUUAAUAUUCCAUCAAAGAUAAUUAGAUAACACCUACCAAGGAUUUUUGAAAAGAAUGCAUUCUCAUCUUAAGCAGCAACCUCACCAGUAACACAUUUUCAUACCCUGUUUCCACCUCUGGUCGCACCACCAAAAAAAUUCAGUACUAAUUAGCUUCAACAGAAUCUGUUUUUUUUUUUAUUUUUUAUUUUUUCCAAAAUAAACCUCCAUUCUUAUACAUAAAAUUAAAAUAUCAAUUAAAUACACAAAGUCUAUGCUUACUAGUAAAACACGUCCAUUUUUAGGUAGAGGCAGAUAAUAAAAGAAAAUUGAAACUGAGAUAAAAUAAGAAGAGCUUACUAGGUGCAUUUGAUCAACAAUCCAAUCCUCAACGAUGGAAUCGAUGCCAUCAAAUAAACAUGACUUAAUCUUGAAACCAUAAACUGCACUAAGCAUAGCACCAAAGCCAGAGCGUGACUAUAAAGAAGAAAAAUAAAAAGAAGGAAAAGAAGAAUUAAAUCAACAUGAAAUUCAACUGGAACAAUACAAAAUAUGAAAUUUUUAGCAAUCUUACUAGCGUUAGGGUUAAGGCUUACCAUAGAGAACUGGAUGGCGCUAACUAAAUGACAAGUUGAAACGGCAUCUGCAAUCGUAUUGAAUGACAUUGAACCGCGAGGUAGGGUUUAAAUGAAUACCGAGCAGAGAUAAAUUGGUGUGGUGAAUUAGGGUUUUGUGGCUACGUUUUAUUUCGAUUGAAAAAAGGAAUUUGAGCUAGGCUUUAAUUCAACGGUGUCGUUAAUUUAAACAUUCAUUUUAGGUUGCAGUGGCCAGUGGAGAGAGAGGGAUUCAUUCAACGCUUAGCCAAAACUUGGCUGUAAG
rnacentral:lncRNA from 1 species